CGCUUGGAACUCAUUAGUCAAACUUCUAAAAAAAAUUUAACAGUCUAAUGACUUAAAUAAAAACUUUCAAAUAGUUCAGUAUCUUAAAUAAAAACAUUCAAAUAAUUUAAUGACUAUUUUAUAAUUUUUAAAACUAAAUAAUUAAAACGUAAAUUUAUUAAUAAUUUAGUCACAUUUAAUAUAGUUUACCGUUAAUGUUAAGAACCAAAGGUUUAAUAAAAGGGUCGCUAGAAAUGAACAGAGAAAGACAAAUUGGUGAUGAUUGAUUUCUAAUAACAACCAAAAAAGGGCCCCCAACCUACAGACAGAGGAGUCCAUAAAUUUGAUGGUAGCGCCCAUGUCGUAUGUAUAUAGGGCUGUCCAAGGCCAUACUUUGCCAGAACAGUCGAUGUCCCCAUAUGUCCAAGUCACUGCAGAUGAGCCGAGGCACCGGUCCAAAAUGAGCCACACCCCACCUUGUGACGUUGAGAAAUGUCCAUUCCUAUACAUUAGAUUGUGGCAUUGCCCAUUGAGGUUGAAAAAACAUUAGAGAAAUAAUUUAAUAGUUUAUUUUUAAAUGAAUAGUGUAAGCACUAAAUUUUUGUCCGACUAGAAUUCGUGUUUAAGUUCCAAAAUUUCAAAAAAAUAAAAUAAAAAAAUAAAAAAAUUUCAAAAAAAAUUACAUCUUAGACCCCUAAACUUUCCUUAAAUUACAUUUUAACCCUAAAUUUUAUAAAAAUUACAUUUAGCCCCAGAAGUUUUGCUACAUUUGUGAUUUGGUCUUUCAGACAGAUUACGUGAUUUGGAGCACUCACUACCAGCAAAUGGCAUAAAAAACAAGCAAAAUGGUAGAAAUGAAAGGGGGAACACACACACACACACAAAAGAGAGGAUUCUCCCAUUUGAAAAAAAAAAGAGCAAAAAAUUCCAGCAAAAAAAAAAUUCCAGCAAAAAAAAAUCCAAAAAAAAACACUAGCAAUCAAGAGAAAAAACGCAGAAAAGUGGAUCUUCGAUUUCAUUUUAUUUGUUUUCAUUUCGUUUUAACUUCUUCUUAGUUUCCUUUCAAAUUUACUGCAAAUCAAUAAACAAAAAGGGGGUUUUGUUUUCAAAUACAAAAAAGGGGUUGUAUUACACAAAUUAUUAAUAAAAAAAGAGAAUAAAAAAGGUUGUUUUCAUAUUUUCUUUCCUUGGUUUUUUUUUUUCUUUCUUUAGAUUUUUUUAUUUUAUUUUCUGUGUUAAAUCUUUUUAAAAAAUAAAAAUAAAAAACAAAAGAGGGGCUGAAAACUUACCUAUUCUUCGCGUACUUGCCUCCAUCGUAGAUUCCCCGAUCCAAAAGGGCCACGAAACCCCUCAGGUUUCUCGUUUAGGCCAUGGAAAAGAAGAGGGGGACGAGUACUUGGAGGGCGAAAUAGGAGCUUUCUCACUUGAACUUGGUGAGAGAGAGGUUUGUUUCAGAGAAAUGAAAAUGAAAAAGGGGAAGGAAAGAGUUUUUGGUUUUUUUUUUUCUCUUGAAAAAGGGACCACCAGAAUAGAAAAGUAGAAAACUUUUUUAAAAUCAUUUGAAAAGGUACCGUGAGUGUAGUGGGGGGUUAUGAAUUCUCCCUAAAAGGGAUAUUUGUGCGUUUAGUCCUUUCCAUUCGCAACUCCAUUCAAUCGGCUCCCAUUUCCAAUUUUCUUUUGUUUUUUUUAAUUCUAACCCUCAGAUUUCAUUUGGUUUUUUAUUAGGUCCCUGAUUAACUUUCCAGUAUUUAUAAUUUUGUACCCCAAAUUUUAACUCGUUUUCAACCAUGUCCUAAAUCUAUUUAAUCCAUUUAUUAACUUUUAAAAAAAAUAAUAUUUCACCUAUGUGUUAUUUAAAAUAUUUUAUAUGUUAUUUACUUUACAUCUAUUCCAACUUAUUUUAAUGUAUUGUUUGUUUAAAUUCUUAUUAUUUAUUUUAACUUGCUUUAUGCAUAUAUUUUAUAUUGGUCUAUUUUAUAUAUAUUAUUUAUUCCUUACCUACUAUAUAUAUGUGUACAUAUAUUCUAUUUUUAAAUUGUUUUGUACAUUGUUGAUUAAAUUUCUUUUCUCAUUAUUUAUUUUAAAUUCAUUUAUUAAUUAUUUUGAAAUUUAUUUUACGUUUUAGUCAUUUUAGUUUGCGUUAUAAUAUUUUUAAUUCACUUGUCUUUGAUUAUUAAUGAUUAGUAUUCAAGUUACAUAUGUUAUGUGAUUAUUGCUGUCGAAACCAUUAUCAGAUCGAGUUUUGGAAAAUGGGAAUCGAUUUUAAAAAACGAAAACGGGAGUCGCCACCAAUCUUUUUGGGUGUGAUUGGAUCACCUUUAAAACAUUUUGUUUUAAAAUCAUUAGUUUUGGUCCACGAAAUAAAAGAACGGGUUCGGGAGUCGGUUACGUACGAGGAAGGAUUAGCACCCUCGUAACGCCCAAAAAUUGGUACCUAAUUGAUUAUCAAAUGUCUUUAAUGUCAAAAGAAAAAAAAAUUAAGAUGUAGUCCUCUUUAAAAUAUUUUAACUUUGAAAAUUGGGAUUCACUAGCUUCAAAGUAUUGACAUUAAGUUAUCCCUUUUUUGAAAUUCCUAUCUCGAAACAGCAAAACGCUAUAUCCAAUAAGUUAGGACAUAUUGCUUUGAAAUUCCAAGAUAGUGGCUUGCAUUUAGAAAACCUCUAAAAACUUAGAAGGGUACUUAAUUAUUCGAAUUCAACGAGAAAAGUGGCAACCCAAUAAGUUAGGGCACUGUUUUCUCGAAAUUUCCAAACACCAAGCAUUGCCUUAUUUGCAAAAAAUCUUAUUUCGAGGUAACAAAUAAAUGAAUAAAACGAAUAAAAAGAUAAUAACAAAUAAGCUAGGAAAUAUUCGAGAUUUAAAAAACUAGUAAUAAAUAAACAAUCAUUAUGUAAGACUAAAGAAUGAUAGUAUAGUGAAGAUAAUAAUAAUAUUAAUAGUAAUAAUACAAAUAAAAAUUUUGGAAUGAUGUGUGAAAUUAUAUAUAUGUAUGUGAAUAUAUAGAUAAGUAAAACAAUAUAUAUAGUGAGUGAAGAGUAAAAGGUAAAACAAGUGUAUUUAAAGAGUAAUGGGUAAAAAUAUAAUAAUAGUGUAAUAGUAGUAAUAACGUAAUAGUAUUAGAAAUAUACGAUAUAUAAUAUUGAAGGUAAAUACAUAAUAUAUACAUAUUAGAAAUAAUCAUACUAUUAGAAACAACUAUUAAUAAUACUACAUAAAUAGAUAUAUAGUAGUAGCAUAUACAUGAUAUAGUUAAAAAAUAUAUAAAGUAAGAUAAUAUGGGAAAUAAAAAAAAAUAUAUAAACGAUAUAAUAUUAGGGCAUAUGCAAAAUAAUAAAAAUACAAUAUUAAAAGAUAUAUAUAUAAUGUAUACAUAAUAUAAUAUUAAAAUAUUUACAUGGUAUAUACAUAAUAAUGUAAAAAUAAACUAUUAGUAAUAUUAUAAAUAUAUACAUAUAGUAGUAAUAAUAAUAUAAAGGUAUUUCAUAUAAAUAGGUAUGCACGUGAAAAAAAAAGAAAAGAGAAAAAUAAUAAUUACAAAAGUAUGAAAUCAAAAUAAUAUGUAGAAACAUGUUUAUUCUAAAAAGAAUAACUGAAACUUAAUUGAGAGAAGAAACAAAAUCCAAGAGAUAACUUACAAGUAAAACAAAUUAUUGAAACAGAAUUUUGGGCUAAAAUUAAUUGCGUAUAAAUGUCCGAGAUCUAAAAUUAAAAAUGCCCCAAAUCUUAAAAUACCGCGCAAAGGGGCAAAUUGAAAUAGCACACAGACUGCAGGGCCAAUUUAAAAUAAUAUAAAACUUAAAUAUAGCCCGAUUGAAGGCUAGCACAAAGGAGGGGACCAAUUGCGCAAAUUACCCAAUUAAAGGUAACAUGCAUGGUCCCAAGCAAAAAGUUGAUUCCACUCCCCCCAUGCUACUUUGUUUUAUUAUUAAUUAAAACUACUCCCCCAUAUUAUUUUGUUUUAUUAUUAAUUAAAACCAUUCCCCCAUACUAUUUUGUUUUUAUUAUUAAUUAAAACCAUACUUUAUUUUCUCUUUUUUUUUUAUCAUAAAAAAACCUUUUCUUUUAAGAAAAAAAACAACAAAAAAAAGAGUUAAAACACCACAUUACCACCCUACAUUCAUUUUUCAAAAUAGAGAGAAGGCUCUCAACUCUCUCAACCCUUCCCCUCCUCCGGUCAUCGGACCGGCCAUCAACCGUCACGCCGGUCACCGGCCACCGACGGCAGCGGCGCUAUCCACGGUGACCGAAAAAUCUUCCUAGGCCCUUUUUCGCUUCUCUUCUCGAGUAGAGCCCGAAUUUGGGGUUAAAAUGACCCAAAAACCUUCAAAAAUUAAUGAGAAGCACCCUAGAACUCAAGAAUCCAUUCGGUUUUCGGCCACCGAUCCUCGGCGGUGGCUUCCUCGGUCGUCCACGAUGUUGGAAAACUGAACACCGGUAAGAUCCUUCCCUCUUUCCCUUUUUUUAUAUUUUUUACAAGUUUUUUCUUUGUUAAAAAUAUUUGUAAAAUAGAUAAAACGAACGAAUAAAAAGAAGAUCAAAAAAAAUAAAAAUAAGGACAAACACCUUUUGAACUUGUUUUCUCUUUUUGAUUUCUCCCAAAAGUCUCUGUAAUACAACCCCCUCUAAUACAAUCUCUUCUCUCCCCAAAAUACAAUCGAUUCUUCCUCAAAAUACCAUUGAUCCCCCCUUUACAAUCGGUUCUAGUAUAGCUUUUAUAGCCAUUUACAAACUUUGUUAUAUAUAUUUGCUAUCUUUUCUUCUUCUUGUAUGGCAGGCAAACGGUGGUGGAGGCAUGUGCCACUUGGUAGUGGUUGGAAGUGGGUGGUUGAGGCUUGCGGCUAGGGUUUCUAAUUUCUGAAAAUAGGUUGUGGGCUAGGGUUUCUAAGCUUUUGGGCUUCUUUUAGGUUUUAAUUUUUGGGUUGUAAUUGGGUUGGUAGCUUUGUUUGUAAAUGGACUUUUAAUGGGCAUUUUGAUUUUUUUCUUUAUUUUUUUUUCAAAAUUUGGUUUAUUUAUUUUAAGGCCCGGGCAAAAUAUGGGUUCUACAGCUGCCCCUCUUUGCUCAUUGUUGUGUUAACAGGAAUAGAACAAAGACUAAAAAGACCCAAUUUUGCUCGGGCCUGCCAAGUUUUGAGUUCUUCGAUCUGCUUCUUCGAUCUGUUCCAUAUAAACACAGGGAUGCCAAAUCUGCUAUCUUCGAUCUGUUCCCUAUAAGCAUAGGGAUGCCAAAUCUGCUGUUUUUCAACUUGUUCCCUAUAAGCAUAGGGAUGCCAUGCUGAAAUCUUCCAUCUACUUUACUGUAAGCAUAGGAAUGUCAGAUCUGCUAUCUUUGAUCUGUUCCCUAUAAGCACAGGGAUGCCAAAUCUGCUGUUUUUCAACUUGUUCCCUAUAAGCACAAGGAUGCCAUGCUGAAAUCGUCGAUCUGCUUUACUGUAAGCACAGGAAUGUCAGAUAUGCUAUCUUCGAUCUGUUCCCUAUAAGCACAAGGAUGCCAAAUCUGCUAUUUUCAACUUGUUCCCUAUAAGCACAGGGAUGCCAUGCGAAAUCUUCGAUCUUCUUCGCUCUAAGCACAGGAAUGUCAGAUCUGCUAUCUUCGAUCUGUUUCCUAUAAGCACAGGGAUGCCAAAUCUGCUAUCUUCAACUUGUUCCCUAUAAGCACAGGGAUGCCAUGCUGAAAUCUUCGAUCUGCUUCACUGUAACUCAGGAAGGCGAUAUCUGCUAUCUUUGAUCUGCCCCCCGUCUACUACAGAGACGCCAAAUCUAUUUCUUCGAUUUGUUCCCUGACAAUACAGAAAUGCCAAAUCAUCUUAGAUUUGCUUUAACGUAAGCACGUGAAAGCCAAAUCAACUAUGAUUCGAUUUGCUCCUUGUAAGCAUAAGGAUGCCAAACCAUCUUGGAUCCACUUCAGCAUAAACAUCCGAAGGUGAGAUCUGCUAUGUAUCUGCUCUCCAUCAAAGUGAAGAUGCCAAACUUCGAUUCGUUCUCUGACGAUACAGAGACGACAAAUCAUCUUAGAUUUGCUUUUUCGUAAUCACGUGAAAGCCAAAUCAUCUAUGUCUUCGAUUUGUUUCUUGUAAACACAAGGAUGCCAAACCAUCUUGGAUCUGCUUCAGUGAAAUCAUCUGAAGGCGAGAUCUACUAUGUGUCUGCUCUCCAUCAAAGUGAAGAUGCCAAAAUUUGAUUCGUUCUUUGACGAUACAGAGACGACAAAUCAUCUUAGAUUUGCUUUCUCGUAAUCACGUGAAAGCCAAAUCAGCUAUGUCUUCAAUUUGUUCCUUGUAAACACAAGGAUGCCAAACCAUCUUGGAUCUGCUUCAGUGAAAUCAUCUGAAGGCGAGAUCUGCUAUGUGUCUGCUCUCCAUCAAAGUGAAGAUGCCAAACUUCGAUUCGUUCUCUAACGAUAUAGAGAUGACAAAUCAUCUUAGAUUUGCUUUCUCGUAAUCACGUGAAAGCCAAAUCAGCUAUGUCUUCGAUUUGCUCAUUGUAAACACAAGGAUGCCAAACCAUUUUGGAUCUACUUCAGUAUAACAUCUGAAGGCCAGACCUGUUAUGCUGCGGCCUAUUACCCUACUGCCUAAGGGAUUAAGGCGCGUCAUCCUGUAGAAUGAUUAUGCUUGAUAAUUAGGAUGCCAUGCUCGAAGUGAGUCAAAUGUUCCUAAUUAAACAUGUUAUGAUGCAAAAUGUCAUGAAUAUGACCCCUAUCCUAAACGUCAUCAUUCAUUCUUUCAUUUGCCUUUCUUUUCUCAAAGCUUCAUUCACUCUCAGCCCGUAGGCCUGUACCCUUCCUCCAAUGCUACGAUCCGCUGAGGAUGUUUGUAAAACAAUCUUUUCUUAAAAUUGAAUCAUUGAUUUUGUUCAUUUUCUCUUUAGACUGGAUGAAAUAAAUUCCUCGAGUUCCUUCAUCCUUUACUUACGUGAAUUUCUCGAAUAAUUGUCCUGUUUUAGUUUCUUGUAUUGUCUAGAAAUUUCAGAGUAAUGCGCAAAACUUCGUUUGUAAACAUAUUUAGUUCAUCUAUCAUUAUUUCAAUGCAACAUAAAAGAUGAAUAAAUCUUUAAGAAUAAUUGGAUUUGAAUGAAUUAAGAAGAAAGAAUACAAAGGAAAUUAAUCUGAAGGUUUAUCUUUAGGAAGGAAUAGAAUUUAAAGAUAGAAAACAAGACAGAAGUUAGAUCCUCCAGAUAUCACCGCUUGAGUGUCUAUACACCAGCUCCAUGAAGUCUUUCUUGAGUUCAAAAUGUGUUUAAAAGAUCCCAAGUACUCUGUUGAUGCCCCAGUUUGUAGCAUUCUUCGCUCUUUGUAACAAGAUCACUGUGUACUCUUCAAAAUUUGAGCUGCCCUUACAGGUUUUCAACUCAAAAACCUUUUGGUCACAAGGUGCCUUUUGCGGGUUUUCACCUUGGCCUCUCCGUUUUUAAUUUUUUUUUCAAGACGCCCUUUACGGGUUUUCACCUUAGAUUCUCUUCUUCUUUAGACAAAGUAUUUUUUAACUGAGUCUGAGUUCACUGGAUUAGGUAAACUUUUCCCAUCCAUUUCUGCUAAGAUCAAUGUACCACCGGGGAAAGCUUUCUUCACAACAUACGGCCCUUCUCAAUUCGGCAUCCAUUUUCCUCUAAAAUCCUUUUGAAUAGGAAGGAUCUUUUUCAGUACAAGGUCUCCCUCAUGGAAUUCCCUUGGUCAAACUUUCUUGUCAUAAGCUCGCAUCAUUCGCUUCUGAUACAUCUGACCAUGUCGAAUGGCUUUUAGCCUAUUUUCUUCAAUCAAGUUCAACUGGUCAUACUGGGAUUGAACCCACUCAGCUUUAUCUAACUUUACUUCUGUCAAAAUUUGAAGAGAAGGUAUUUCUACUUCAAUAGGUAAUACUGCUUCCAUCCCGUAAACUAACGAGAAUGGAGUUGCCCCAGUAGAGGUUCUGACAGAUGUUCGAUAGGCCAGGAGUGCAAAUGGUAACUUCUCAUGCCAAUCUCUAUAGGUCUCAGUCAUCUUCCCCACUAUUUUCUUGAUGUUCUUGUUGGCAGUUUCUACCGCCCCAUUCAUUUUUGGAUGAUAGGGGGAAGAAUUGUGAUGCUUAAUCUUGAAUUGGUUGCAAACUUCUACUAUUGUUUUGUUGUUUAGGUUCAAUGCAUUGUCGGAUAUGAUCUUCUCAGGUAUUCCAUACCGACAAAUGAUCUCCUUCUUCAAGAAUCGACUCACAGCUGACUUAGUAACAUUCGCAUAAGAAGUAGCCUCUACCCAUUUUGUGAAGUAGUCAAUUACUACAAAGAUAAACCGAUGUCCAUUCGAAGCUCUCGGUGAUAUUGGUCCAAUAACAUCCAUGCCCCACAUGGAAAAGGGCCAUGGAGAAGUCAUAACAUGCAAAGGUGAAGGUGGUACAUGAAUUUUAUCCCCAUAAAUCUAGCACUUAUGGCAUUUCUUGGUGUAACUGAUGCAAUCCCCUUCCAUAGUGGCCCAAUAAUAGCCAAACCUCAUGAUUUGCCUUGCCAUCGUGAACCCAUUUGCAUGCGUCCCGCAUACACCUUCGUGAACUUCUUCUAGAAUUAACUUAGCUUCCACAGCAUCGACACAUCUCAAAAGUACUUAGUAUUUCGUCUUUUGUACAGGAUAUCUCCGUUUAAAACAUAGUCGCAAGUUAACCUCCUCAAGGUUCGUUUGUCAUUUUCACUGGCCUGUUCAGGGUAUUUACGAUCUCUCACGUAUCGUAAUAUAUCUUGAUACCAGGGGUUAUUGUCAUUUCCCUCCCUCUCAAUGUUACAACAAUGAGCUGGAGUCUUGUAAACACUCAUUUGAAUUGGCUUCAUUUCUUCUUCUUUAUUUGCCUUGAUCAUUGAGGCCAAGGUUGCUAAAGCAUCUGUCAUCUGAUUUUUGUCUCGUGGGAGAUAAUUAAAGGUGAUGCUAUCAAAUUCCUCAAGUAACCCCAAAACUUCUUUCGAUAACUAAUCAAUUUAGGGUCCCUUGUCUCCCAUUCACCUCUAAACUGAUAAACAACCAACGCCGAAUCCCCAUAUACUUCUAGAGUUUUUAUACCUCGCUGUAUAGCAGCUUGAAGUCCCAUAAUGCAUGCUUCAUAUUCACCCAUAUUGUUUGUGCAAUCAAAGUCCAACUUGCACAUAAAAGGAUAAUGAUCUCCAUUCGGAGAUACCAAGACUGCCCCAAUUCCAUUUCCGACUGCAUUAGAAGCCCCAUCAAAAUUGAGCCUCCAAGAAGAAUUUUCAAUCAUUGCUAUACACAUCAACUCCUCAUUUGGAAAAUCGAAGUUUAGUGGCUCAUAAUCCUCUAGAGCCCUACUAGCCAAGAAGUCCGCUACUGCACUUCCUUUUAUAGCCUUCUGACUUAUGUAGACUUUAUCAAACUCCGAAAGUAAAAUUUGCCAUCUCGCCAUUCUCCCCUUUAGAGCUGUUGACUCCAUCAUGUAUUUCAAUGGAUCAAGUUUUGAGAUAAUAAAUGAGCCAAGUGGUAUGGUAUAGCAUGUACUGUCUUAAUCUCCGAGUUGUCCAAAUCAGUGCACAACACAACUUUUCGAUUGGUGAAUAUCUCAUCUCACAGUCAGUGAACUUCUUACUGAGAUAAUAAAUUGCCUUCUCUUUUUUCCCUGACUCAUCAUGCUGGCCAAGCACACAUCCUAUAGAAUUACUAAACACUGAUAAGUACAGUAUUAAUGGUUUAUCUGGGCUGGGUGGAGAUAAUACCGGAGCAUUCAACAAAUACUGCUUGACCUUUUCAAAAGCAUUCUGGCAUUCCCCAUCCCAAAUACCUUGAUUGUGUUUUCUGAGGAGACGAAAGAUAGGAUCACAUUUCUCGGUUAGUUGUGAAAUGAACCGAGCAAUGUAAUUCAACCUUCCUAGGAAUCCUCGAACUUCUUUUUGAGUACGUGGUGGAGGUAAUUCUCGUAUGGCUCUGACCUUGUCUGAGUCGACUUCAAUUCUUUUUUCACUGACUACGAAGCCUAACAACUUUUCGGAUCUGGCUCCAAAGGUACACUUUGUUGGAUUGAGCUUCAAUUGAAAUUUUCUCAACCUUACAAACAAUCUUCUCAAGACCUCAAUAUGCUCUUUUUCCGUACGGGACUUGGCAAUCAUAUCAUCGACGUAUACCUCAAUAUCCUUAUGGAUCAUGUCGCGGAACAAGUUCACCAUGGCCCUUUGGUACGUUGCCCCUGCAUUUUUUAGUCCAAAUGGCAUUACUUUAUAGCAAAAGGUGCCCCACAAGGUUAUAAAGGUGGUUUUAUCCAUGUCCUUUGGAUGCAUCUUUAUCUGGUUGUAUCUUGAGAAACCAUCCAUAAAGGAGAACAAUGAAUAUCCCGCUGCGUUAUCUACUAAAGUGUCAAUGUGGGGUAAAGGAAAAUUAUCUUUUGGGCUUGCUUUGUUCAAGUCUCUGUAAUCAACACACAUUCGUACUUUUCCAUCCUUCUUGGGGACUGACACAAUGUUAGCUACCCAUUCGGAGUACUUCACUUCUUGCAAGAAUCCUGCAUCAAACUGUUUCUUGACUUUAUCCUUUAUCUUCAAAAUGAUAUCUGGCCUCAUUCUUCGCAACUUCUGUUAGACUGGCUUACAAUCUUGUUUUAUCGGAAUACGAUAUACCACAAUGUCAGUACUCAAUCCAGGCAUAUCCUGAUAUGACCAGGCGAAGAUAUCCUUGAACUCUUGAAGUAACUCAAUCAGACCAUGCCUUGUGUCCACGCCAAUUAGGGUUCCGAUUUUCAACUCAUUCCCUUCCUCUAGGGCUAUAUUCUCUAUUGCCUCUUUCUCAUGUGGCAUGAUUUGUUUCUUCUCCUACUUAACCAUUCUUAACAGAUCGAGAGAUACGUCACAAUCCUGAACAUUUUCAAAAUCCUGAGGUUCCUCUAAACACAUGUCUUGCUUGCUAGAGAAAUUAGGAGCUGUAGUAUCAGCGCUCAUAUCAUUGAUAUCUAGGGACCUGUGGGGGUAUGAAAGAAUAUACAAAGAAUGAAUGAAUCAAAGAAUGAUUGUUUAUGUGCUAUGAAUAAAAGAAUAAGAAUUGCUAGAAUUUGAAGGAAUAUUGGUCGAUAAAAAUAGAACGAUACUCGUUUAAAUUGAUAAAAAGUUAUGUUUUAUUUAAAUAAUUAUAGAUGAACAUAAGCCUAUUUCACAAAUAUAAUCUUACUACUCGUAGGCCCUAGAGUAACAGACAUGUUUUGAGAAUUACUCUGAAAAAUUCCUAAAGACUACAGGAAGGUUUUCCACAGUCCAAUUAUUCAGAGAGCUCCCCGGUUCGUAAGGGCGAAUGCCCUCGAGGCUUCUUUGCUCCGAUCCUUCAUUGUGCACAGCAUUAACUUGAUGACUUUCCUUUAUCAGCAGUCCUCCUGAUUUGAAGGAUUUGGAUAUAGGUGGGAAUGUCAUCGGUUCCCACUCCACUUCUCUUCCAUUCAAACGUGCCUUUCUUCUCGCUUGGCGCUUCUCUAUUUCCUGCCUCUUGUGCUUGUGGUCUGGCUUGAAGCCCAAGCCAAAGCGGUCCUUCUUCUCAAUCAGUUUUGGGAUUUGAACCUCUCAUUGCAACUGUCUUCCUAGCCCUUUUCCCGAUAAUGCUCCUUUCCCCAUCAUCAUUUGUAGGGCCAUCUUCGUGGCUCCAAACAUUUUGGGUACCGACACUUUGCUUCCCUCCAAAAUAAAGGUGGCAUUGAUGACCUCUAAAGAGCGAAAAGAACAUUCAAUAGCCUCUUCAUUUGCCUCAACAUAAGGGGCCUUGCUGGUAACUGCCGCUAUGAUGUCCUCUUCCGCAUUGAUGGUUAUUAAGCGACCAUCCAUCACUAACUUUAAUUUUUGGUGCAAUGAAGAGGGUACUGCUCUUGCCGAGUGUAUCCAUGGUCUCCCCAAUAAACAAUUAUAGGAGGGCUUGAUAUCCAUCACUAGGAAAUCAACUUCAUACGUAUUCGGCCCAAUCUCCAAAGGGAUGUCGAUUCACCCCAUUACUUUUCUUUCAGUUCCAUCAAAGGCUCUUACCACAUUAUGACACAUUUUCAUAUGCGAACUGUCAAUGGGCAAUCUGUUCAAGGUGGAUAGCGGCAGGAUGUUCAAAGCAGACCCAUUAUCCACGAGUACAUUUGGAAGUGUGUAUCCUUUGCACCGAGUAGUGAUGUGUAGGGCUUUGGUUGACCCUAUGCCCCCAGGUGGAAUUUCAUCAUCGUUAAAAUAAAUGAAAUUGUCAGCACUGAUGUUGUUUACUAACCGGUCUAGCUUGUUAACGGAUAUGUCAUGGGUAACAUAUGUUUCGUUAAGCACCUUUAACAACGCAUCUCGAUGCGCUUCAGAGCUCAAGAGUAGGGCUAACACUGAUAUACGCGCCGACUGCUUGCGCAACUGCUCGACCACGCUAUACUCGCUAUGUUUCAGGAAUUUUAGAAACCUCUUAGCCUCUUCCUCCUUUACCGGCUCAUUGAUGAGUACUUCAGUUUCCUUUUCCCUUUCAGCCUUGACAUCUUUCGUCUUUGCGGGCUCUACUCUGAUAUUCCCCCUGUCAUAACGUUUCCCACUUCGUGUAUGAGAACCUUCAUUUUGCGUACCCCUGGACGCGCUAGCUAUACUCUCCCCCUCAGGUAUUGUUAUAUUGUAGUCAUAGCUCCAUUGCACCCUCCUGUCAUCCUUAUAAGGGAAAGGAUUGGGUUUAUGGAUGACUAUUUUAGGCCUAGUUUGCGACCCCUCCUCAUUAUUCCCUAGCAAGGAAAUAAUAAUUCUCGGUUGGCUGGUUCUUUGUCGUUCAUUCUCCAGUACACAUAUUUGUCCUUCAUAAGAACUACCCUCAGAAACCUGCAACUCUUUGUUAACUAUAAGGCCUUGUACCAUGACCUUGAACUCUUCACAAUUUUGGAUCACAUGACCUACUUCCCCAUAGAACUCACAAUGGUUCUCUAUUCCUUCUCCUCCUUUUCUAGAGGUUAGUAUACCUCUCUUCACCAUCUCCUCCCAUAUUACCUUCAUAUGUGUCUUCACCUCAGCAAUGUCUUUCUUGAUUUUUCUUUUCUUUGUUUCAUCAAUGGCAUUCACUCCUUUAUUGCCAUGAUCCGGUAAGGGAUUUUUGGCAUUAGGGGUACUAUCGAAUUUCACAACCCCCAUCUUGAUAAGCCUCUCCACGGCUUUCUUGAAUCCUGUGCAGUUUUCGAUCGAAUGCCCCGGUAUUCCCGCAUGAUAUUCGCGCUUAGCAUUUACAUCAUACCAUCUGGGGUACGGUGGCUGUAGUAGUUUCAAGUGAAAUGGAGCAAUGGCAUGUGCAUCAUACAAGCUUUGAUAAAGCUCACUAUACGUCAUAGGGAUAGGCGUAAAUUGCAUUCUUUCCGAAUUCUGUCUUAUGCCUGAUUCCUAUCUUUGGGUAUUUUGUUGUUCGACCAUAGCUGCUUUGGGUUGACCAACUGUGAUUGCCCUCGAGUUGAGACUAUUCACCUCAUUGUCCUUUCUCCUUGGGGCUGAUCUUUUAGCCACUUCCCCCUCGAUUUUACCGCCUCUCACGGCAUUCUCAAUCAUCUCACCCGCCAUAACUAUAUCCGCGAAACCUUUUGUGGUACUUCCAAUCAUAUGUGUGAUGAAUGGCGCCUUCAAAGUAUUAAUAAAUAACAUGGUGGUUUCCUUUUCUAACAAUGGUGGUUGUACUUGCAUUGCCACCUCCCUCCAUCAUUGUGCAUAUUGCCUAAAACUUUCAUUAGGUUUUUUCUCCAUGUUUUGAAGUGUGAUCAUAUCUGGCGUCAUAUCAAUCACAUGGUUAUACUGUUGCAUGAAAGCCUGUGCAAGAUCUCUCCAUGAACUGAUUCUUGCACGGCUCAACUGAUUGUACCACUUAGCCGCCGCUCCCACUAGGCUGUCUUGAAAACAGUGGAUCAAUAGUUGAUCGUUGUUCACAUAACCAGUCAUUCUUCUACAAAACAUUGUUAUGUGUGCCUCUGGGCAAGUAGUCACAUUGUACUUUUCAAACUCUGGCAUCUUAAAUUUAUGAGGAAGCACCAAAUAUGGAACCAAACUUAAGUCUUUGGCAUCAAUCCCAUGAUGAUUGCCAGCACCUUCUAAAACCCUAAACUUCUCCUCUAACCACCUGCAACGAUCUUCCAAUUGUUUUGAGGAUUCAGUGGCCAUUCUUUCCUUCUCCAUUAAAUCCAGAUCAGGAGUAAUAGGGUUGAUCGAGCUAUCACCCAAAUUAUUUCCCAACCCAGAUGGGAAAUUUAUGGGGAUUCUAGCAUCCGUUGGCCCAUAUUGAGGCCUUACUAUGACAGAUAGCCUUCUAGGAGGUGCCUCGGUUUGCAGGGGCACAUGAGGCGGAGUAAAACCCGGAGGAGGACCUUCAUUAUCCUCUUCAGUAAUCGCCAUGGGAGCUUUUCCUUUAUCAGUGGCUCUUAGCAGCUGAGCCAUUUCAACCAUCAUGUUUCUCUGAGCCUCUAGCAUCUGCUCCCUCAUUUCAUUCUGUAUUUUGGCCAACUGCUCUUGCAUUUGAUCUUGCAUAUCUUUUUGUAAUUGCUCAAACCUUUGAUCCAUGUUCUUAGUUUUAGUACGAGUGCCGUAAGGAUGUAUGAUUUCUAGAUUUUCUUUUCUACCUCUCUAGAAAGUAAACUUUAACUAAUCAGGGUCUUUCUAUAACUUUGAAUGCAAACGAUGUGAUGAAAUGUUAUGAGAUGCAAAUGCAUGAAUGCAAAAAGAAUAUCGAUUCUGGUUCAACUUCAUUUAGAAAAUUUUAUUUAGAAAAAGAAUAUCUUUACAUAUAAGAGGAUUACAAAAACGAUUUCGCCCUAAGGCCCAAAGCUUUAACUGUAUCUAAUAAAAGGGCUAACUUUCGUCCUACAUCCGACGAUGAUGAAUACAUCAGACUCAAUACGUCAGCUCGAAUUGCCAAGUCUUGCACAUACUCAGCAACCUCUCGAAUCUGAGAUAUGGCUUCACCAAUGACAUGAUCCCUUUUUCUGACCUGUUCUUUAGCUUGAUGUAGCUCUCCCCUCAAAUAAUCCUCUUGCGCCUUGAGCUGCUCAACCCGGAGUUCACCGUCAUGCAAUGCCACCUCCAAAUCUUCAACCUUGCUUCUUAGCUCCUUUAACUCGACCGUAGAAUAAUGGUUUUGGUGCCAACGGAGGGAUUUUCCAAGUUCCAUUACCUUAGUCUUCAAUCCUUUAUUCUCUUCCUCUAAUGCCAAAUUCUUCCCCCGCAUUUCUUGGAAUUUCCUCUCCUAGUACUCGGCUCUAUCCUUUUCUUCUUGAACCUCCUUCUGCCACUGAUUCGAAGAUCCUCCUACUCUCGCCCUCCUCAAGGCUACUUGUGCCCUUUUGUAAUGCUCCCUUAGAUCAUCUCUAUCUUUUUUUUUCUUUCCUCUCUUUCUCGACUUUCAUCUUUUGAACAUCAACGUCCAAACUCAAGUACAUCUUUUCUUCUUCGAGCUUUGCUAUCCUCCUCUCGAACUCCAAGCUUUGUCUCUCGAACUCCUGUUUCAUAAUUUCUAACUUUGAGGGCCUUACUUGCAAAUAUUCCUCCAUUGGUCGAGCUCCUUCCAUACUUGGCUUAGGGAUAUUAUCAUUAACUCUUCUACCUCUUCAUUCUAUGUAUUCCGGUGUCGUAGCGGGGCUAAUAGCUUUUCCUCUCAAUUGACAAGUCUUCUUCUAAGCACUAGAAACUUCUCUAACCCUCCUCUUAUAAUCGGCUCCUCUAUAUACAAACUCACUUUGAGCCAACCCCUGAGUCGCUGGUAUGAACUGUCUCAAUCCAUGCUGCCUUAGUAGGAGCAAAGGGGAAUAGCCAAUGGCACCCCAAAUCCCCAAUAAGGGUACCCAAUCAAAACUACCGCAUCAGUAAAGAACCUCACCAGGCAUCAUCUAUGGAGCCCUCCACUCGACAUCUUCUGACUGAAGGUUCUGAAGUAACGUUAUCCAAUUCUCUUCUGGAACAUCAACUCUCCUGGUUGAAGCUACAAUAUCUUUCAACGGUGAAUAAUCCUCAAAGUAAACCUGACAAACCACCCUAUCUAUCAACCGGAAAUGACUGUAGAACCAAGCCAAAAGCAACUGAGCACACCCUAUAAACCUGCCAGCACUAGCCCUCCUACAUGCACCUAAAGACCUAAAUGUUUCCGCCAAAAUUGCAGUGAUAGAAGUGACCUUUUUACUGAGUCGAUGAAAAAGAUCUGUGGUUGCCUCAUCCACAUAUCCCAAAGCCCUAGGGAAGACCAUCAAUCCAUAUAAACUUAGGGAAAAAACAUCUAUCUUCUUUGUCUCAUCAGGGUGUGUCAAAAUCAAAUCUUUCAAAGCAUCCCACGAAAUGCACUUGCACUCACCCUUUUCUUUAAUUCGGGCCGUGGCCCACUGCUCGCUCAUCCCCGUAAUAAUCAUCAAUUUCUUCCAAAAGGUAGGGACACAAGGAGCUCGGGAAUAGAUCCUAUCAUUCUGAAACCGGGGACAACGAAGUAAAGCAGUGUACUCUUCCACAGUAGGUACCAUGUCUACUUCCCCAAAAGUGAAGCAACUGUACGCCGGGUUCCAAAACUGAACAAGGGCUCUGAAUAAGUGCUCGUCUAUCUAAACAUCAAGCAAGUAAGGUAAGUCUCCAUAGUUACCGUAGAAUAAUUGCUUAGUCUCUUUGCCCCACUGAUCCCAAAUUUCCUUAAGUUCUUGGAGAUUAUUCUGUGUGACACUUAAACGAGUAUAAUCUGGCAGCUCCGACACAUAUCCUAUAGCUAUACUGUCUCCCUUUUCUAGUUGAGUUUGCUCGGACCAUUUGUGGACGUUAACGUUGCCUUCCACUUUAUCAAGAAGUCCGUUCUCCAUAAUAAAACUUCCUAACUUAGAAACUGACCAUGAACCGAUAUAUCUGUAAAUGCAAAAUGACAUGCAAGCAAAAGAAAAAAGAUAGUCAGUAUCAUAUAAUAUCAAUAAAUUUCAACGAUAACUUAUAAGGGUAAUGUGACAUCCCUAAUUUGACCCUAGUCGGAAAGUGGUUUCGAGACCACAAAACUGAGUCAUAAAAAUAAUUAACCGACAUAUUUGAUGAUUAUUAUAUAUGAAUAUGCAUGUGUGAAAAUUUCAUGUUUAAAAUUUUGUUAAUAGUAUGUGAAAUUUAUUAAAUAGAACUUGUGUGAGAAAAUUUAGAAAUGUGCUAGGUAAAUGUUAAAGUGGCCUAUUAAUGCAUGUUAUAAAAUGCUUGUACUUGCAUGUCAAAUAUUCCUUUUUAUUUAUAGUGGCCGGCCAUGAUGAUGAAUUUAUAUUAAAAAUAGACAUAAAUAAUUACUUAUGAUGGUUGUAUAAUUUUAUAUUGUGAAAGAAUAAUAAAAAAAGGGUGAAAAAAAUAAAACUCCAUUCUUGUUCAUCUUGGCCGAAGGAAAGAAAGAAAGGGAGGGAAGAAUUUGUAGUCACUUGAGUCAUUAAGGAGGUUAGUAUAUUAUGUUAAAUUGUGAAAUUUUAACUUGUUUUAGGUAAAUAAUCAUGGUUCUUAAUUAGCCCAUGCUAAAAUUUGUAAUUUUGAUGGAUGAUUGGAGCAUUCGGCUAGGGGAUAAAGUAAGGAAUUUUGGUUGUUUCAUCUAAGUAUUGAUGAUGAAUGUGUUGUGGAAAGAAAUUGGUCUUCCUAAGAAUAUGAUUUGUGAAUGUUUAUAUUAGUAAUAGCCGAAAUUAAAGAGGUUUGAUGUCUUGAACAAAUGUUGUUUAUAUGUUUUGAAUUAAGUAAAAAUUUAUGUUUGAACACUUAAGGAUUCGGCAUUGUUCAUGACUAUUUUAUUUAGAAUGUGAUUUUGAAUAUUACGAAUAUUGGAAUGUAAGUAUAUGUGUGAUCGGUCGUAGGAAUUUGAUAUGAAGUUUUGUUAGGUGAGUGAUGAAUGGCCGAAUGAAUUAUAUACAUUGUAAGGAUGAAAUUUGUAUAUAAAUUGUGUAUGUGUGAUUUUAUUAGUUAAUGGUGUUUUGGCAUUAUAUUUUGUUAUGUGUGCAUUCGGACUUUAGGGGUAAUAAGAUGAAGUUAAAAGGUUAAAGAAGUUUCUAAGGCUUGUUAAGUUAUUGUAGCCAUUGCCGAUGGUAUAAUUGGUUAAAGGAAAUUUCAAAUCGUCCAUGUAUGAGUAUAUGAGUUGAUUAUUAAAUGAGUAUUCGACAAUAUUUAUAAUAAUGAAUAUGAGAGUGUAUAUAUAUACAUGUUGUGCAUAACUUGAGUAAUCGACUAAAAUAUAUUUAUAUGUAUGUUAAUGCCUUAUGUAUACGCCUUGUGUCAGUGAGACAUUCGAAUGUAAAUAUGUAUUAAAGUUACAUAUAUAAUUGUUUAAUGUGACUUAUCAAGUACACAAAUUUGAAAAUGAAUGAUAAUAGACUUAAGUGGUCAAUUGAUUCAAAUGAAUUGGUUUUAAAAUGUAUAUGGAUGCCGUAUGACUAUGUUUGAUUGGGAAGUAAAUUUGUUUGAUUUAGCUCAAGAGCUUAGAGGAUCAAAGUUGGAUAGGGGAAAGGAAAAAGUAAUCGAAUAGCCGUUGAAAUCGUUCGACAACAUCCGAGGUAAGUUUCUAGCAUAUAAGUUUAGCUAUAAUGAAGAAUGAUAUGGAAUACGGGUAAAGAUGGGACUAUGAAUUGGUGUAAUUACCUAUAGUAAAAUGAUAAGGAAUAAGUUACUUCUAUGAGCCUUAGCCGAUUUGUUAUUAGAAAAGUGAUAUUUAAAUUAUGAUUUGUAUGUGAUAAUAAGAAGUACUUAUAUAUGAUGAUAUGUUUUAAACUCAAAUGCUAAGUUCUUAAGUGUUUGGACUUGGAAAUUUAAGAGCAAAUUGUAAUAAUCUGCUUAGUACAGCAGCAGUAGCGUGAUUUUGAAAAUCACCAUAAAUUGUUGUAGUGGAAUUAGAGACUGAUGUAAUCAAAGCUCAAUGAGUCUAGUAUCUUAUAAAAUAAACAGUGUAAGCAAAGGAAUUUCCUAUAGAGAGAUAUUUAAAGUUGUGUGUGAUAGUGUCAGAAUAAAUUUAAAAUCCCCUGUUUUGUUUUUAGAAAAUCAUUAUAAAUAGUACAAAAAUUGUUAUAAGAUAAAAUUUAUAUUCUUAGACUCCUUAAUGAGUCUAGUUUCAAAUGAAAUAAACAAGAACAUAUUUUGAAAUCUGUACAAUGAGAAAUUUGAUUCGUAGUGAAGAGUGGUCAGUAUAGUCGAUUAGUGAAAUAGGGGAAAUUUUAAGAAAAUUAUGGUUAUGAUUGGCCAAACCAAAAAUCAUGAAAAUUUUAUGGAUAGAAGAUAUAUGAUUCUAUUUUCGGGAAAAAUUUACGGUAUUUCAUUUGGAGUUCUGUAGCUCGAGUUACAAAUAAUCUAAUGAUUGUUGUUCAAGAAAAUAGCUUGUAGUGAAUCUGUGAUUUUGUUGUAAACAUUGAUGAAACUAAUUGAGUUGGUUUUAAGCUAUUGCUGAAUUGAUGCACAAGAUAAAUAUAUAGGUGGUGAGGCCAAAAUGGCUAAAAUUUAAAUGUGUGCCAGUUAUCCGAAUGGCUAUUUUAUAAACGUAAGCAAUGUAUAUGUAAUAUGUGUUGAUAGUUUUAUAAAUUGAAGGUGUAGUGACUUAUAUGUUGUUUAGCCGAAUGGUUGUCAUGAGAAGAAUGUAAGUCAUAUGUGUAUUUUCUUAUUUAGUUGGAAGUUUAUCGAAAGGGAUAUAUAUAGAUAUAUAUAAAUAUGUAUUAAAGUCGAAUGAUAUUAGGACAUGGAGUUAAGGUAUACGCUAUAUGCUUAUAUUCGAAUGAGGUUAAUGAAUUACAAUGGUGAUAGUUUGUGUGAAAUGUGGUAACAUGUGAUUAUAGUGUUAUGUUUUAUUUGAAAUAUUAAUGUGGAUAUGAACUAAAGAACUAAGCUCCUAAAUACAUAUAUACAUUUAUGUAUGUGCACGAAAUGAGUGCAUAUGAUUAAGUGGUUAGAGGUAUUGAAAGAUUGAAUUGGUAAUUGGUAACUAUGGAAACGGUAAGUGUACAAAGGUUAAGUAUAUGGUAAGUGAUACUUACUUGCUAUGUGAAUUCGAUUUCGUUUGUAUUACAAAUGUACUUGGGGAAUCAUUUAUGAGAUGGUUAUAAGUUAUAUUCAACGAGUAUUGACUCUAUCAAAUUGUUUAUGUAAUAUGAAAACAUGAAUAUGUAUUUCCAAAUAUGGAAACCGAAUGUGAUUAUAGUGUUAUGUUUUAGUUAGACUGAUUAAACUAAAGAAAAAAUAGCAUUGAUGUUUUUUUUUAAAUGCGAAGGGGUAUAUACUCUUAAAUUUUGAUGAAAUAGAUGAAUUACAUGUGCAUACAUAGGGUUUAAUCUAUUUGACCGAAUGGUGAUAUAUCUUGACAUUUCAAAACGUGAUUUGUGUAAGGCCUAAUCUUAAGCGACUUAGUAAUAAAUCAACAAUUGCGGAUGUUCAGCACAUUAAGUUGGCCAGGUAUGUAUUAUGUACUUGUGUAGGCUUAUUAAGCCCAUCGAGACUUCACUUCGAUUUUGUGUAAGUUAUAAAUGUAUUUAAUCCAGCAAAGUUAAUUGUUUUACUUAAGACUUACUAAGCCUUGAAAGCUUACUCUGUUGUUACGUUUCUCUGUUUUAUAGAUUGUCAAAUUUGGCCUUUGCUCGGGAAACGUCAAUAACUCGUCACACUAUCACUAUCCACUGUUUGGUACUGCUAUGUUUUGGAUUAUUUUAUGGCAUGUAUAGAAUAGACUAGUAGCAAAAUAAUAUUCUGGUUAAUGUAUAUAAGCCAUGCGAAAAUGGCAUCCUUUGAAUGUGAACUUAUAGAAGUUUAAUUUUAUCCCUGGCUGUAUUUAGCAUUUAUCUAAAUGAAUGAUCUUUAUUUCAAGAAAAAGUUUAAAAUUUUACUGUUCUGACAUGAGUUACAAGUCUGGUAAUACCCCUUUCCUAUUUCGACAACGGUUACGGGAUAGGGGUGUUACAUUUUAUUGGUAUCAGAGCUACGGUUUAGUCGAUUCUAGGACUAACAUAGCACGUGCGAGUCUAGUUAUACAUGUCAUAGAAUGAUAAAAUGAUAGUGUGAUGAUUUCUGACAGAUAAAAUGUAUUUUUCGUAUUGUAAUGAAUCUCUAUCCCUAUCGAGCUGUAACAAGCAUGAUGGCUGGUAAUCUGUUUCAGACUCAAAGUUCAACAGACUUGUGCCAGUGACGAGUUUAGGUUAUACCUAGUGGGCUGAAUGUUGGAAAACUAUUAAAGACACUAGAACUAUGAAGCUUAUGCUAUACGGUAUCCGAAUUCGUUCACUAAAUUAAGUUUGUUCAGGUAUGUGAGUGUUAUUUACGAAAUGCGUAUGGGAAAUGGUUGUAUAUCUAUGUGUUCAGUUUCCAUAGAAAUUUAUAUUCAUAGAAGUGUAUGUGGCACCUAUGUGAUUCGAUCAUUGAAAUUAUAGAAAUUAAGUUGGAUAGUGAAACGAAAAUGUGAUCUUUGUAUGUGGCUAAUGAACCGAAAUUUGAAUGGUUGAUAAGCAUGUAGUGCUUGUAUUCGAGUAAUGUAAAUGAUAUACUAAUGUAUUAUGUUAUAUAUAUGUGAGUGCAUUAGAAUUGAGAGUUACAUCCGGGCUAAGUCCCGAAGAGCAUUCGUGCUGGUGUUACAUCUGGGCUAAGUCCCGAAGAGCAAUCGUGCUGGUGUUAUAUCCGGGCUAAGUCCCGAAGAGCAUUCAUGCUGGUGUUAUAUCCGGGCUAAGUCUCGAAGAGCAUUCGUGCUGAUGUUACAUCCGGGCUAAGUCCUGAAGGGCAUUCGUGCCGGUGAUGUGUAAUCAGGCCUUUAUGCCUAGCAGGCUUAAUGCCGGUGAUUCGAGCAAAGUUUAAGUGUUCAUUACUAUAUGAAUUCAAAGUUAAAUGAAAGGACACGUUUAAAGUGUACUUAUAUGAUGUUUUAUAGACUUGGUUAAGUUAUUUCAAUGUGUAAUAACGAAUGAAUAUAGGCACUAUGUGUGCGAAUGAAUUGAGGCACUGUGUGUGCGAAUUCUUUAAACCGAGCACUAUGUGUGCGAGAUCGGUCAGUGGGCACUGUGUGUGCGGAUUUCGUUUCAUGUAAGAUCUUUUCUAGGAUGACGGUAUUGAUUUGUGAUAGUGUGUAAGACCGUGUUUAGUACACUGGCAUCACUCUUGUUAAGCUUUAUGCCUAUUCGAAUGUAUACGGGUAACUUUAAAUAUGAUUGGAUGUAUUGAAUGAACUAAAUGUUCAGGUACGUGGAAGUUGAUCUUAUUUUGGAAAUAAGUUAAGUUGAAUAUUUAGAUAUGAUAAUGUUAUAAAGGAUAUUCAUUAGGAUGUUUAAGAACAUGUAUACUUUCGGCCAUGUUACGGCUUAUAUAUAUAUAUAUAUAUAUGAAUGAAAAUGUGGGUUAUGAAUAUCUGAGUUGAUGUUAUGUAAUUGUUUUAAAAUAAGAGGACGUUAUCCUAACGUAGUCGUUAGUAAGAUUUUCAGGGACGAAAAUCCCUAAAGAGGGAGAGAGUUGUGACAUCCCUAAUUUGACCCUAGUUGGAAAGUGGUUUCGUGACCACAAAACCGAGUCAUAAAAAUAAUUAACCGACAUAUUUGAUGAUUAUUAUAUAUGAAUAUGCAUGUGUGAAAAUUUCAUGCUUAAAAUUUUGUUAAUAGUAUGUGAAAUUUAUUAAAUAGGAUUUGUGUGAGAAAAUUUAGAAAUGUGCUAGGCAAAUGUUAAAGUGGCCUAUUAAUGCAUGUUAUAAAAUGCUUCUACUUGCAUGUCAAAUAUUCCUUUUUGUUUAUAGUGGCCGGCCAUGAUGAGGAAUUUAUAUUAAAAAUAGACAUAAAUAAUUACUUAUGAUGGUUGUAUAAUUUUAUAUUGUGAAGGAAUAAAAAAAAAGGGUGAAAAAAAUAAAGCUUCAUUCUUGUUCAUCUUGGCCGAAGGAAAGAAAGAAAGGGAGGGAAGAAUUUUUGGUCACUUGAGUCAUUAAGGAGGUUAGUAUAUUAUGUUAAAUUGUGAAAUUUUAACUUGUUUUAGGUAAAUAAUCAUGGUUCUUACUUAGCCCAUGCUAAAAUUUGUAAUUUUGAUGGAUGAUUGGAGCAUUCGGCUAGGGGAUAAAGUAAGGAAUUUUGGUUGUUUCAUCUAAGUAUUGAUGAUGAAUGUGUUGUGGAAAGAAAUUGGUCUUCCUAAGAAUAUGAUUUGUGAAUGUUUAUAUUAGUAAUAGUCGAAAUGAAAGAGGUUUGAUGUCUUGAACAAAUGUUGUUUAUAUGUUUUGAAUUAAGUAAAAAUUUAUGUUUGAACACUUAAGGAUUCGGCAUUGUUCAUGACUAUUUUAUUUAGAAUGUGAUUUUGAAUAUUACGAAUAUUGGAAUGUAAGUAUAUGUGUGAUCGGUCAUAGGAAUUUGAUAUGAAGUUUUGUUAGGUGAGUGAUGAAUGGCCGAAUGAAUUAUAUACAUUGUAAAGACGAAAUUUGUGUAUAAAUUGUGUAUGUGUGAUUUUAUUAGUUAAUGGCAUUUUGGCAUUAUAUUUUGUUAUGUGUGCAUUCGGACUUUAGGGGUAAUAAGAUGAAGUUAAAAGGUUAAAGAAGUUUCUAAGGCUUGUUAAGUUAUUGUAGCCAUUGCCGAUGGUAUAAUUGGUUAAAGGAAAUUUCAAAUCGUCCAUGUAUGAGUAUAUGAGUUGAUUAUUAAAUAAGUAUUCAGCAAUAUUUAUAAUAAUGAAUAUGAGAGUGUAUAUAUAUACAUGUUGUGCAUAACUUGAGUAAUCGACUAAAAUAUAUUUAUAUGUAUGUUAAUGCCUUAUGUAUACGCCUUGUGUCAGUGAGACAUUUGAAUAUAAAUAUGUAUUAAAGUUACAUAUAUAAUUGUUUAAUGUGACUUAUCAAGUACACAAAUUUGAAAACGAAUGAUAAUAGACUUAAGUGGUCAAUUGAUUCAAAUGAAUUUGUUUUAAAAUGUAUAUGGAUGCCGUAUGACUAUGUUUGAUUGGGAAGUAAAUUUGUUUGAUUUAGCUCAAGAGCUUAGAGGAUCAAAGUUGGAUAGGGGAAAGGAAAAAGUAAUCGAAUAGCCGUUGAAAUCGUUCGACAACAUCCGAGGUAAGUUUCUAGCAUAUAAGUUUAGCUAUAAUGAAGAAUGAUAUGGAAUACGGGUAAAGAUGGGACUAUGAAUUGGUGUAAUUACCUAUAGUAAAAUGAUAAGGAAUAAGUUACUUCUAUGAGCCUUAGCCGAUUUGUUAUUAGAAAAGUGAUAUUUAAAUUAUGAUUUGUAUGUGAUAAUAAGAAGUACUUAUAUAUGAUGAUAUGUUUUAAACUCAAAUGCUAAGUUCUUAAGUGUUUGGACUUGGAAAUUUAAGAGCAAAUUGUAAUAAUCUGCUUAGUACAGCAGCAGUAGCGUGAUUUUGAAAAUCACCAUAAAUUGUUGUAGUGGAAUUAGAGACUGAUGUAAUCAAAGCUCAAUGAGUCUAGUAUCUUAUAAAAUAAACAGUGUAAGCAAAGGAAUUUCCUAUAGAGAGAUAUUUAAAGUUGUGUGUGAUAGUGUCAGAAUAAAUCUGAAAUCCCCUGUUUUGUUUUUAGAAAAUCAUUAUAAAUAGUACAAAAAUUGUUAUAAGAUAAAAUUUAUAUUCUUAGACUCCUUAAUGAGUAUAGUUUCAAAUGAAAUAAACAAGAACAUAUUUUGAAAUCUGUACAAUGAGAAAUUUGAUUCGUAGUGAAGAGUGGUCAGUAUAGUCGAUCAGUGAAAUAGGGGAAACUUUAAGAAAAUUCUGGUUUUGAUUGGCCAAACCAAAAAUCAUGAAACUUUUAUGGAUAGAAUAUAUAUGAGUUUAUUUUCGGGAAAAAUUUACGGUACUUCAUUUGGAGUUUCGUAGCUCUAGGUACAAAUAAUCUAAUGAUUGUUGUUCAAGAAAACAGCUUGUAGUGAAUCUGUGAUUUUGUUGUAAACAUUGAUGAAACUAAUUGAGUUGCUUAUAAGCUAUUGCUGAAUUGAUGCACAAGAUAAAUAUAUAGGUGGUGAGGCCAAAAUGGAUAAAAUUUAAAUGUGUGCCAGUUAUCCGAAUGGCUAUUUUAUAAACGUAAGCAAUGUAUAUGUAAUAUGUGUUGAUAGUUUUGUAAAUUGAAGGUGUAGUGACUUAUAUGUUGUUUAGCCGAAUGGUUGUCAUGAGAAGAAUGUAAGUCAUAUGUGUAUUUUCUUAUUUAGUUGGAAGUUUAUUGAAAGGGAUAUAUAUAGAUAUAUAUAUAAAUAUGUAUUAAAGUCGAAUGAUAUUAGGACAUGGAGUUAAGGUAUACGCUAUAUGCUUAUAUUCGAAUGAGGUUAAUGAAUUACAAUGGUGAUAGUUUGUGUGAAAUGUGGUAACAUGUGAUUAUAGUGUUAUGUUUUAUUUGAAAUAUUAAUGUGAAUAUGAACUAAAGAACUAAGCUCCUAAAUACAUAUAUACAUUUAUGUAUGUGCAUGAAAUGAGUGCAUAUGAUUAAGUGGUUAGAGGUAUUGAAAGAUUGAAUUGGUAAUUGGUAACUAUGGAAACGGUAAGUGUACAAAGGUUAAGUAUAUGGUAAGUGAUACUUACUUGCUAUGUGAAUUCGAUUUCGUUUGUAUUACAAAUGUACUUGGGGAAUCACUUAUGAGAUGGUUAUAAGUUAUAUUCAACAAGUAUUGACUCUAUCAAAUUGUUUAUGUAAUAUGAAAACAUGAAUAUGUGUUUCCAAAUAUGGAAACCGAAUGUGAUUAUAGUGUUAUGUUUUAGUUCGACUGAUUAAACUAAACAAAAAUAGCAUUGAAGUUUUUUUUUAAAUGCAAAGGGGUAUAUACUCUUAAAUUUGGAUGAAAUAGAUGAAUUACAUGUGCAUACAUAGGGUUUAAUCUAUUGGACCGAAUGGUGAUAUAUCUUGACAUUUCAAAACGUGAUUUGUGUAAGGCGUAAUAUUAAGCGACUUAGUAAUAAAUCAACAAUUGCGGAUGUUCAGCACAUUAAGUUGGCCAGGUAUGUAUUAUGUACUUGUGUAGGCUUAUUAAGCCCAUCGAGGCUUCACUUGGAUUUUGUGUAAGUUAUAAAUGUAUUUAAUCCAGCAAAGUUAAUUGUUUUACUUAAGACUUACUAAGCCUUGAAAGCUUACUCUGUUGUUACGUUUCUCUGUUUUAUAGAUUGUCAAAUUUGGCCUUUGCUCGGGAAACGUCAACAACUCGUCACACUAUCACUAUCCACUGUUUGGUACUGCUAUGUUUUGGAUUAUUUUAUGGCAUGUAUAGAAUAGACUAGUAGCAGAAUAAUAUUCUGGUUAAUGUACAUAAGCCAUGCGAAAAUGGCAUCCUUUGAAUGUGUACUUAUAGAAGUUUAAUUUUAUCCCUGGCUGUAUUUAGCAUUUAUCUAAAUGAAUGAUCUUUAUUUCAAGAAAAAGUUUAAAAUUUUACUGUUCUGACAUGAGUUACAAGUCUGGUAAUACCCCUUUCCUAUUCUGACAACGGUUACGGGAUAGGGGUGUUACAGGUAAUGUCUAAGUUGGGCUUAUACGGUCCUUCGACAUGGGGUUGGUUCUAAAGUUUGAGGUACCCGAACCAGCAGAUUCCUCGAUCCUCACCCAUUAUAGGCUCAUUUGAAUCGAGUUCAGUUCAGGGGAAUACAUUUUCCUAUGGCUACACGGAGAUGAAAAUCUCACGAAACCAUAGGUACGGAUGUAUCCCGAAAGUGAUCCACUAUCCUGCAAGGAGGCGAAAACCUCACGAUGUAGCACCCCAAACCUGGCCCAAAAGUUAUGACCGGAUCCGACAUACCACAUCAAAGCGUUCAAAACAUUUUAUAUUGUUGAUCCAGAAAAAAACUUACUUAGUGUUUUAAAAGAUAAUUUCAUUAUAGGUUAAAGUGAAUGGAAGCUGUGCACCAGGUAGGAAACCGGAAAAGAGGUGGUGAGUCCAUCGGACUGCUUAAGUACCAAGCUCCCUUCGGAUCCAAUCCUAGACAUGCAUACCGCCAUUGCCACACCUUAACGCCAUGGAUAUUUCUAGGAAACUGAUUUGAUUAAGUCAUUUGUAGGAAAAGUGAUUAAUUUUCGAAAAUACUUUCAUUGCGGAAGCUUUGCUUGUUGUCGUGUUAUUUUGAAAUCAAUUGUUGUUUUUGAAAAUGCGCCCUAAAGCUAUCCAAUUUCAACAGUUAAAUAUAAAUAUUACCUAUCUUAAUAAAACAUAUAAAAAACCAUCAAAAAUAAAUAAGCGGCCUUAUUACAUUUAAAAGCCCAAAACCUCAAACGUAAUUAAAAGGAUGUCCAGUUCACCAGAAGAAAAUCAAACUUUCAGAACGGGUGGCCACUCCGAAUUCCCUCACAGCUCCAAGCCCACUAUGGUUGGGAAUUUCCUGCGUGGAUGAAAAUAAAAGGGGUGAGUUUGGGGAAACUCAGUGUGUAAAUUAACCUAACCAUAGCCUAUAUCAGCUUAAACCACAGAAAUAGAAUAAGUUGGCCUUAGCCCAGAACAAAAUUCAAAAUAAAGCCCAUAGGCCCAUAACAGAACAGAACAGAUAUUACAUGUUUAUGCAGAAACCCAGCCAUAUCCAACCGUAUACACCCCCGUACCAACCUUAUACCGUGUAGGGAGACAACUCGACCCACUCAACCGCUACACACCACAGAAUUUGCAGCAUGGCUGCCAGAACAGAUAAUGUGACAGAGUCACCAGAUACAGAUAGUCGUGGCAGAGCCACCAGAAUAGAUAUAUGUGGCAGAGCCACCAGAUCAGAUAUUUGUGGCAUAGCCACCAGAACGCUUCCUCCAUAAUAUAACCCAUGUCCCCAUGCAACAGAUAUAUAAUCAUGGCAUACAUCAUACAGAAUCAAAUCGUCAUGCUUUUAGUUCAAAAUUAACCCUAGGGGUAUAACGGUAAUUUUGCACCUAGGGGUAUAACAGUAAUUUUCCAUACAUAGGGGUAUUAUAGUAAUUUAGCUAAUUUUAGGGUUUUCAUGCAUAUCCUAACUAUUUACGUACUAUCAGAACACUUACCGCAAAUACUUACUGAAUUGGGCCCGUUGGCCCAUGAACCCGAUCUUUGACCCAUUAAGCCCAAAUUAUCAAAAUGUACGAAAUCGCGCGUACUGCAGUUUAUUACUUUAGAUUACCAAAUAUACAAACCCAACUAUCUUACGAGCAUUCGCACACUCGCAAAUUCCCAAAAUACUGACUUUUCGGCAUUUCGGCUUUUCGGCUUUUGCCAAUCUAGUCUAUGAGAGGCUGUCAGUUACACACCUAUUUGCGAUGAUAUGCUGACGAGAUCCACACACGAACCGCCUACAAUUGGAUUACUAAUACGUUAAUCUAACUAUUCAAAUACAAACUACGUAUUAACCCCUUACAAUAUUCGGCCAACCACACCUACAAAUCAUAGUAAGCUUAUAAGAAAUCAAUAAGCAACUCAUUAACAAAUUUUUGUCAAUGUUUACCACAUAAUCAUAAUUUCACUGCAAGCUGUCUUCCUGAGCAACAGUCACUAAAUUAUUUAUAACUGGAGCUACGAAAAUCCAAAUCAAGUACCGUUAAUUUUCCCUGAAAAUAGACUCAUAUAUCUUCUAUCUAUAAAAUUUUCAGAAUUUUUGUUACGGCCAAUCAAUACCAGAUAUUUCUUAAAGUUUCCCAUGUUUCACUGUUUGACUAAUCUGACCACUCUUCAUUACGAAUCAAAUUUCUCAUUGUACAGAAUUAAAAAUAUGUUCUCGUUUAUUUCAUUUGAAACUAGACUCAACAAGCUUUAAUUAAAUAAUUUAUUCAGCUUCUAAUUCAUCUCCCACAAUUUAUGGUGAUUUUCCAAAGUCACAUUACUGGUGCUGUCCCAAGCAGAUUUAUUACCAAAUUCACUCUUUCACACAUAACUUGCAUGCAUGUUAUUUAAACAUGUAUAUCACCAAUCAAUCAUCACAUAUCUAUGAUUUUACUUAAGUAUAAUCUCCAUUUCAUCAUUUUAAAGCACAACAUGUUAGCCAAUUUUUCCCUUUAGCAUCUAAGGCACAUGCAUGUUCAUUUGUUUGGCUCAACUUCACCUAUCUUCCAUUUUUCAUCAAAAGAACAUGAAACAACAACCAUUUCCUUCAUUUUAAUUCAUGACCAAAUGCUCACAAUACAACAAAAAACCAAAAUAUGCUUCAAGAGUUAAGGUAGAAUCAAGAAGAACUCAUGAACCUUAAAAUAGAAGCAAGUUACCAAGAACUUACCUUCAAUUUUCCUCCUCAUAAUGACCGAAUACUCAAGAGCUUUCUCCUCUCCUUUCUUUUCUCUAACUUUCAGCUAUGAUGAACAAAGAUGGACAAAACUUUGUUCUUUUCACCCCUUUUUCUUUUAAUAAAACUUCAUAUUCCAUCCAUUUAAUUCUUUAAUACAAAAGACAUGAAAUUCUUAUCAUGAAACAUUUACCUAACCCAUUAUCAUGAAACAUUUACCUAACCCAUUAUCAUGGAACAUUUACCUAACCCAUUAUCAUGAAGCAUUUACCUAACCCAUUAUCAUGGAACAUGUACCUAACCUAUUAUCAUGGAACAUUUACCUAACCUAUUAUCAAUUUGUAUGAAUUUAUACCAUAAAUUAUGGAUAUCAAGUGUACAUUUUGUCUACAACAACAUGAUGGCUGGCCACUUCAUGUAAAAUGGGAGGUUUGUCAUGCAAAUCCUCCUAUUUUGCACUCCUAUUUAUUUGGCCACUUCAAUUUAGCCUAUAGCAUUUUCAAACAUUUUCACAUAGGUCCUAUUUCAUAAUUUCACCCCCUUUUUCUUAUGGAACAAAAAUUAACUAAAAUUGUCGGGUUCUAUCUUAAGCUUGGGCUUUCUAGAGGCCCACUAACAUAAUUAAACCUAUGCCAACAUUCACAGAAUUCUCGAAAAUUGGGGCGUUACAACUCUACCCUCCUUAAAGAAAUUUCGUCCUCGAAAUUUACCUGAUCCAAACAGAUGAGGGUAUUACUAUUGCAUCGUCUCUUCUGGCUCCCAAACUCAGAAGUUUCCCCUCCCUCAACUUGUUGAAAACGAGCGACCAAAGACUCAUCGUUCAACUGUUUUUCCUUAAUCUGAUCCACCCAGGUUGGCCUCACUUGCAACUCAGCCAACAGACUUCCAUCAUCAUACAGACUCAGACGAGCAAACAUUGCUCUCAGAUCAGAUACAGCUCUACGACUUAGAGCAUCGGCUACCAUAUUAGCCUUGCUUGGGUGAUACUCGAUCGAACAGUCAGAAUGCUUAAGCAACUCAAUCCAUCUCAUUUGCCUAAGGUUCAGCUCCUUCUGAGUCAACAAAUAAUUAAGACACUUAUGGUCAGUGUAUAUAAUACACCUUUCUCCGUACAAGUAAUGUCUCCAAAUCUUAAGUGCAAAUAUCACUGCUGCCAACUCUAAAUCAUGAGUCGAAUAGUUUCCCUCAUGAGGCUUAAGCUAUCGUGAUGCAUAUGCAACCACCUUACCCUCUUGUAUUAACAUGCAGCCCAAACCCACGUGUGAUGCGUCACUGUACACAGUAAAAUCAUUCCCAAACUCUAGCUGAAUUAACACAGGUGCUUCAAUUAGAACUUUUUUCAACUUCUCAAAAGCUUCCUGCUGUUUCUUAGUCCAUACAAACGGUACUCCUUUCCUUAUGUGUUUUUUCAGAGGUGCUGCCAUCACAGAAAAAACCUUCCACAAACCUUCUCUAGUAUCAUGCCAGUCCUAGAAAACUCCGUAUUUCUGACACUGACCUAGGCGGCUUCCACUUCAAAAUCGCUUCAAUUUUCCGAGGGUCCACCUUAAUCCCCUCAGCAGAGACCACAUGUCCUAAGAAGGUUACCUCCCUCAACCAAAAUUCACACUUGCUGAACUUCGCAAAGAGUUCUUUCUCCCUUAAUACUUACAGCACUAUACAGAGAUGCUCAUCAUGUUUCGUUUCAGUUUCAGAAUAUACUAGGAUAUCGUCAAUAAAGACGACUACGAAUUGAUCUAAAAAUGGUUGGAACACAUGAUUCAUCAGAUCCAUAAACGUUGUAGGAGCGUUCGUCAGUCGAAAUGGCAUAACCAGAAACUCGUAAUGACCAUACCGAGUCCUAAAUGUCGUCUUAUGGAUAUUUGAAUCCUUAACCCUUAACUGAUGAUAACCAGAUUGAAGGUCGAUCUUGGAAAAUACAGAAGCUCCUCUAAGCUAGUCGAAUAGAUCGUCAAUCCUUGGUAGUGGAUACUUAUUUUUAAUCGUCAGUUUGUUCAACCGGUGAUAAUCAAUGCACAUCCGCAUUGUACCAUCCUUCUUCUUUACGAAUAGCACCGGUGCUCCCCAUGGAGACACGCUUGGCCUAAUGAAGCCCCUAUCCAACAACUCUUGAAUUUGAGCGUUUAACUCUACUAAUUCUUUCGGUGCCAUCCUAUACGGUGCGAUAGACACAGACGCCAUUCCAGGCAACAAGUCUAUUCCAAACUCAACUUCUCGAUUCGGAGGCAAUCCUAGAAGCUCCUCCGGAAAAACAUUUUGGAACUCAUUUAUGGUCCUAACCUUAUCCACUAUCAGUCCCUCCUCUUCUGAAUGACUUACGAAUGCCAAAUAGACCUCAUAACCUUUCCGAAUCCACUUUUCGGCUCUUAAUGCCGACACUACAUUGGACAAAUAAUCCCUUCGCUCACCUAUCACCAUAACCUCCUCAUUCUUUGUGGUCCUUAAUACCAUUCAUUUAGCAGCACAAUCUAGAGUCACUUUAUGCUUAACAAGCAAGCCCAUUCCCAAAAUUAGAUCAAACUCUCCGAAUGGUAACUCCAUCAGAUCUCUAGGAAAAAUCUUACCUUGAGUUUCUAAGGGUACAUUCCUAUACAGUUUGUCUACCCUAACCGAGUGACCCAAAGGACUUAGUACAGAUACCCCACUCACAAUCUCCUCAAAGUAGUCCAAGUUGUCCAUAAUCUGUUCUGUGGCUUCCAACCAAUAUUCCACCACAUUCGGGGCUAUACCAGACACGCCCUUAAAAAUCUCCGUUCCGUUAGUCCCGAAGUCAUUCAGAAAUAGAUCCCUGAAUUUCGUUGCCCGAACUUGCUCCAGUAACCCUUUCCAGAACACGAAGCACUGCCUGUGACAGGGCAUCAUCCUCGGCACCGCGGUCAUGAGACUCUACCUCUGUUGCCGGUGGUACCGGUGUAUUCACCGCCGGCAUAUAUCUCGAAGACGAAGAUCUCGCUCGAGCACUUCCUCAGCUCUGUCCACGGCCUCUUGUACUCAUAUCGUAUUAUCUUAAUUACGAAUUUUUAUGCAUCAAUUAAUAUUCCAGUGUUUAUUACAGAUGUUUUAUGAAUCAGACAGUAGUUCAGAGUUUGUUUUCGCAGAAUCGAAGUCUAGCUACAGUUUCAGUCUCUUAUCAGAUUUUUCCUAUGGUUUCAGAAUCAUCCUAUCUAUAGUAUCCUAGUAGGGUUUCAGUACAGACAGAUAAUUCAGAAAAAUAUUCAGAAGAGUUCAGAGCAAUACUUACAGGCUUGAGCCGGAGAUUCGGAAUGCCACCUUCUAAAGAUCUAAAUUUUGAAAAUCGCGUUUUUCGCAAUCUUUAUAAAAUUUUUAUUUUCGAAGAUCCAAAUUUUGUAAACCCAUUCCACAGCCGAGUUGUUGUAACCUAGGCUCUGAUACCACUAAAUGUAGCACCCCAAACCCGGCCCAAAAAUUAUGACCGGAUCCGACAUGCCACAUCGAAGCGUUCAAAACAUUUUAUAUUAUUGAUCCAGAAAAAAAACUUACUUAGUGUUUUAAAAGAUAAUUUCAUUAUAGGUUAAAGUGAAUGGAAGCUGUGCACCAGGUAGGAAACCGGAAAAGAGGUGGUGAGUCCAUCGGACUGCUUAAGUACCAAGCUCCCUUCGGAUCCAAUCCUAGACAUGCAUACCGCCAUUGCCACACCUUAACGUCAUGGAUAUUUCUAGAAAACCGAUUUGAUUAAGUCAUUUUUAGGAAGAGUGAUUAAUUUUGGAAAAUACUUUCAUUGCGGAAGCUUUGCUUGUUGUCGUGUUAUUUUGAAAUCAAUUGUUGUUUUUGAAAACGCGCCCUAAAGCUAUCCAAUUUCAACAGUUAAAUAUAAAUAUUACCUAUCUUAAUAAAACAUAUAAAAAAACCAUCAAAAAUAGAUAAGCGGCCUUAUUACAUUUAAAAGCCCAAAACCUCAAACGUAAUUAAAAGGAUGUCCAGUUCACCAGAAGAAAAUUAAACUUUCAGAACAGGUGGCCACUCCGAAUUCCCUCACAGCUCCAAGCCCACUAUGGUUGGGGAUUUCCUGCGUGGAUGAAAAUAAAAGGGGUGAGUUUGGGGAAACUCAGUUUGUAAAUUAACCCAACCAUAGCCUAUAUCAGCUUAAACCACAGAAAUAGAAUAAGUUGGCCUUAGCCCAGAACAGAAUUCAAAAUAAAGCCCAUAGGCCCAUAACAGAACAGAACAGAUAUUACAUGUUUAUGCAGAAACGCAACCAUAUCCAACCGUAUACACCCCCGUACCAACCUUACACCGUGUGGGGAGACAACUCGACCCACCCAACCGCUACACACCACAGAAUUUGCAGCAUGGCUGCCAGAACAGAUAAUGUGACAGAGUCACCAGAUACAGAUAAUCGUGGCAGAGCCACCAGAACAGAUAUAUGUGGCAGAGCCACCAGAUCAGAUAUUUGUGGCAUAGCCACCAGAACGCUUCCUCCAUAAUAUAACCCAUGUCCCCAUGCAACAGAUAUAUAAUCAUGGCAUACAUAAUAUAGAAUCAAAUCAUCAUGCUUUUCAGUCAAAAUUAACCCUAGGGGUAUAACAGUAAUUUUGCACCUAAGGGUAUAAUAGUAAUUUUCCAUACAUAGGGGUAUUAUAGUAAUUUAGCUACUUUUAGGGUUUUCAUGCAUAUCCUAACUAUUUACGUACUAUCAGAACACUUACCACAAAUACUUACUGAAUUAGGCCCGUUGGCCCAUGAACCCGAUCUUUGACCCAUUAAGCCCAAAUUAUCAAAAUGUACGAAAUCGCGCGUACUGCAGUUUAUUACUUUAGAUUACCAAAUAUACAAACCCAACUAUCUUACGAGCAUUCGCACACUCGCAAAUUCCCAAAAUACUGACUUUUCGGCAUUUCGGCUUUUGCCAAUCUAGUCUAUGAGAGGGUGUCAGUUACGCACCUGUUUGCGACGAUAUGCUGACGAGAUCCACACACGAACCGCCUACAAUUGGAUUACUAAUACGUUAAUCUAACUAUUCAAAUACAAACUACGUAUUAACCCCUUACAACAUUCGGCCAACCACACCUACAAAUCAUAGUAAGCUUAUAAGAAAUCAAUAAGCAACUCAUUAACAAAUUUUUGUCAAUGUUUACCACAUAAUCAUAAUUUCACUGCAAGCUGUCUUCCUGAGCAACAGUCACUAAAUUAUUUAUAACUGGAGCUACGAAGCUCCAAAUCAAGUACCGUUAAUUUUCCCUGAAAAUAGACUCAUAUAUCUUCUAUCCAUAAAAUUUUCAGAAUUUUUGCUAUGGCCAAUCAAUACCAGAUUUUUCUUAAAGUUUCCCAUGUUUCACUGUUUGACUAAUCUGACCACUCUUCAUUACGAAUCAAAUUUCUCAUUAUACAGAAUUAAAAAUAUGUUCUCGUUUAUUUCAUUUGAAACUAGACUCAACAAGCUUUAAUUACUCCCACAAUUUAUGGUGAUUUUCCAAAGUCACAUUACUGGUGCUGUCCCAAGCAGAUUUAUUACCAAAUUCACUCUUUCACACAUAACUUGCAUGUAUGUUAUUUAAACAUGUAUAUCACCAAUCAAUCAUCACAUAUCUAUGAUUUUACUUAAGUAUAAUCUCCAUUUCAUCAUUUUAAAGCACAACAUGUUAGCCAAUUUUCCCUUUAGCAUCUAAGGCACAUGCAUGUUCAUUUGUUUGGCUCAACUUCACCUAUCUUCCAUUUUUCAUCAAAAGAACAUGAAACAACAACCAUUUCCUUCAUUUUAAUUCAUGACCAAAUGCUCACAAUACAACAAAAAACCAAAAUAUGCUUCAAGAGUUAAGGUAGAAUCAAGAAGAACUCAUGAACCUCAAAAUAGAAGCAAGUUACCAAGAACUUACCUUCAAUUUUCCUCCUCCUAAUGACCGAAUACUCAAGAGCUUUCUCCUCUCCUUUCUCUUCUCUAACUUUCAGCUAUGAUGAACAAAGAUGGACAAAACUUUGUUCUUUUCACCCCUUUUUCUUUUAAUAAAACUUCAUAUUCCAUCCAUUUAAUUCGUUAAUACAAAAGACAUGAAAUUCUUAUCAUGAAACAUUUACCUAACCCAUUAUCAUGAAGCAUUUACCUAACCCAUUAUCAUGGAACAUGUACUUAACCUAUUAUCAUGGAACAUUUACCUAACCUAUUAUCAAUUUGUAUCAAUUUGUACCAUAAAUUAUGGAUAUCAAGUGUACAUUUUGUCUACAACAACAUGAUGGCUGGCCACUUCAUGUAAAAUGGGAGGUUUGUCAUGCAAAUCCUCCUAUUUGCACUCCUAUUUAUUUGGCCACUUCAAUUUAGCCUAUAGCAUUUUCAAACAUUUUCACAUAGGUCCUAUUUCAUAAUUUCACCCCCUUUUUCUUAUGGAACAAAAAUUAACUAAAAUUGCCGGGUUCUAUCUUAAGCUUGGGCUUUCUAGAGGCCCACUAACAUAAUUAAACCUAUGCCAACAUUCACAGAAUUCCCGAAAAUUGGGCCGUUACACACGAAGGCGUAGCUUCUCACUCCCACUUAAGGGUGUGACCACAACGGUCAUGUAAAAUGCAAUGCGAUCAAAAUAUAGCAUGUAAUAAUACAAACACAUGUAAUGCAAAGAGGGUUAAAUUUUAAAAUUUUUAAUUUCCGACAUUAAGACAAGAGAUAAUCAAUUACAUGGCCUGACUCUCUUAUUACGACCCCAGUGGAGUCGCGAAGCUGUCGAAACCAUUAUCAGAUCGAGUUUUAGAAAAUGGGAAUCGAUUUUAAAAAACGACAACGGGAGUCGCCACCAAUCUUUUUGGGUGUGAUUGGAUCACCUUUAAAACAUUUUGUUUUAAAAUUAUUAGUUUUGGUCCACGAAAUAAAAGAAAGGGUUCGGGAGUCGGUUACGUACGAGGAAGGAUUAGCACCCUCGUAACGCCCAAAAAUUGGUACUUAAUUGAUUAUCAAAUGUCUUUAAUAAAAAAAAAUUAAGAUGUAGUCCUCUUUAAAAUAUUUUAACUUUGAAAAUUGGGAUUCACUAGCGUCAAAGUAUUGACAUUAAGUUAUCCUUUUUUGAAAUUCCUAUCUCGAAACAACAAAACGCUAUAUCCAAUAAGUUAGGACAUAUUGCUUUGAAAUUCCAAGAUAGUGGCUUGCAUUUAGAAAACCUCUAAAAACUUAGAAGGGUACUUAAUUAUUCAAAUUCAACGAGAAAAGUGGCAACCCAAUAAGUUAGGGCACUGCUUUCUCGAAAUUUCCAAACACCAAGCAUUGCCUUAUUUGCAAAAAAUCUUAUUUCGAGGUAACAAAUAAAUGAAUAAAACGAAUAAAAAGAUAAUAACAAAUAAUCUAGGAAAUAUUCGAGAUUAAAAAAAUAGUAAUAAAUAAACAAUCAUUAUGUAAGACUAAAGAAUGAUAGUAUAGUGAAGAUAAUAAUAAUAUUAAUAGUAAUAAUACAAAUAAAAAUUUUAGAAUGAUGUGUGAAAUUAUAUAUAUGCAUGUGAAUAUAUAGAUAAGUAAACAAUAUAUAUAGUGAGUGAAGAGUAAAAGGUAAAACAAGUGUAUUUAAAGAGUAAUGGGUAAAAAUAUAAUAAUAGUGUAAUAGUAGUAAUAACGUAAUAGUAUUAGAAAUAUACGAUAUAUAAUAUUGAAGGUAAAUACAUAAUAUAUACAUAUUAGAAAUAAUCAUACUAUUAGAAACAACUAUUAAUAAUACUACAUAAAUAGAUAUAUAGUAGUAGCAUAUACAUGAUAUAGUUAAAAAUAUAUAUAAAGUAAGAUAAUAUGGGAAAUAAAAAAAAUAUAUAAACGAUAUAAUAUUAGGGCAUAUGCAAAACAAUAAAAAUACAAUUUUAAAAGAUAUAUAUAUAUAUAAUGUAUACAUAAUAUAAUAUUAAAAUAUUUACAUGGUAUAUACAUAAUAAUAUAAAAAAUAAACUAUUAGUAAUAUUAUAAAUAUAUACAUAGUAGUAAUAAUAAUAUAAAAGUAUUUCAUAUAAACAGGUAUGCACGUAAAAAAAAAGAAAAGAGAAAAAUAAUAAUUACAAAAAUAUGAAAUCAAAAUAAUAUGUAGAAACAUGUUUAUUCUAAAAAGAAUAACUGAAACUUAAUUGAGAAAAGAAACAAAAUCCAAGAGAUAACUUACAAGUAAAACAAAUUAUUGAAACAGAAUUUUGGGCUAAAAUUAAUUGCGUAUAAAUGUCCGAGAUCUAAAAUUAAAAAUGCCCCAAAUCUUAAAAUACCGCACAAAGGGGGCAAAUUGAAAUAGCACACAGACUGCAGGGCCAAUUUAAAAUAAUAUAAAACUUAAAUAUGGCCUUGAAGGCUAGCACAAAGGAGGGGACCAAUUGCGGAAAUUACCCAAUUAAAGGUAACAUGCAUGGUCCCAAGCAAAAAGUUGAUUCCACUCCUCCCAUGCUAUUUUGUUUUAUUAUUAAUUAAAACUACUCCCCCAUACUAUUUUUUUUAUUAUUAAUUAAAACUAUUCCCUCAUACUAUUUUGUUUUUAUUAUUAAUUAAAACCAUUCCCCCAUACUAUUUUGUUUUUAUUAUUAAUUAAAACCAUACUUUAUUUUCUCUUUUUUUUUUUAUCAUAAAAAAACCUUUUCUUUUAAAAAAAACAACAAAAAAAAGAGUUAAAACACCACCUUACCACCCUACAUUCAUUUUUCAAAAUAGAGAGAAGGCUCUCAACUCUCUCAACCCUUCCCCUCCUCCGGUCAUCGGACCGGCCAUCAACCAUCACGCUGGUCACCGGCCACCGACGGCGGCGGCGCCGUCCACGGUGACCAGAAAAUCUUCCGAGGCCCUUUUUCGCUUCUCUUCUUGAGUAGAGCCCGGAUUUGGGGUUAAAAUGACCCAAAAACCUUCAAAAAUUAAUGAGAAGCACCCUAGAACUCAAGAAUCCAUUCAGUUUUCGACCACCGAUCCUUGGCGGUGGCUUCCUCGGUCGUCCACGAUGUUGGAAAAUUGAACACUGGUAAGAUCCUUCCCUCUUUCCCUUUUUUUAUAUUUUUUACAAGUUUUUUCUUUGUUAAAAAUAUUUGCAAAAUAGAUAAACCGAACGAAUAGAAAGAAGAUCAAAAAAAUAAAAAUAAGGACAAACACCUUUUGAACUUGUUUUCUCCUUUUGAUUUCUCCCAAAAGUCUCUGUAAUACAACCCCCUCUAAUACAAUCUCUUCUCUCCCCAAAAUACAAUCGAUUCUUCCUUAAAAUACCACCGAUCCCCCCUUUACAAUCGGUUCUAGUAUGGCUUUUAUAGCCAUUUACAAACUUUAUUAUAUAUAUUUGCUAUCUUUCUUCUUCUUGUAUGGCAGGCAAAUGGUGGUAGAGGCAUGUGCCACUUGGUAGUGGUUGGAAGUGGGUGGUUGAGGCUUGUGGCUAGGGUUUCUAAUUUCUGAAAAUAGGUUGUAGGCUAGGGUUUCUAAGCUUUUGGGCUUCUUUAGGUUUUAAUUUUUGGGUUGUAAUUGGGUUGGUAGCUUUGUUUGUAAAUGGACUUUUAAUGGGCAUUUUGAUUUUUUUCUUUAUUUUUUUUUCAAAAUUUGGUUUAUUUAUUUUAAGGCCCGGGAAAAAUAUGGGUUCUACAAUUGCCAUUGUGUAUUGUAUAAUUAGUUUAUUCGUAUUUUCCUUAUUGCCAUUUGCUUGUAUAAUAUUGUAUUUGUGUUGUUAUUACGUACUCUAUGUUAUAUUUUUGUUUUAUCUAGUUUAAAUCAUAUCAUAUAUUAACCCAACAUACUUGCCCGACUUGGAUCGCUUGAUUUUUUUUAUUCCAAACAAAUAAUGUACGUCGUUCAAAUGCCAUAUUCGCUAUUACUCAAAAACGAAAUUUUCCAAAUAAGGCAAUGUUAUGUGAGAUAUCAAGGAAUUGUGCCCUAACUUACGGGGUUUUGAUUUUCUCUUUAUUUCUAAAUAGCUAAAUAUCCUUUUCGAGUUUUAAAACACACGAAACUCAAUUUAAAUUAAAAGACAACCUUGUGCUCGGGAAUUCAUAGUAUUGUGUCCAAACUUACGGGAUGUGAUACUCCGAUAUCUCGAGAUAAGGAAAUCUUUAAACAAAUCGAUUUAAGUUAAUUCAAGAAUUUUAAAAUCGGUAUUAAUAGAAAAGAUCGUAUUUCAAGUUCCUUCCUGAUUUUUAAUUUUCGACAUUAAGACACUAACUAAUCAAUUCGGUACCAAUUUUUUGGGCGUGUCGAGGGUGCUAAUCCUUCCUCGCACGUAACCGACUCCCGAACUUAUUCUCUCAAGUUUCAUAGACCAAAGGCCCUAUUUUAGUAAACUAAAAUUGAUUUAUUAAAACAAAGGUGAUCUGAUCACACCUAAUAAAAGAUUGGUGGCGACUCCCGUUUUAAUUUUCACUUUCAAACAAAGUCGAUCCCCAUUUUCAAAAGAAUGGUUUCGACAGCUUGACGACUCCGCUGGGGACCUCCAGAGUCGAGCCUUAAAGUGAUUUUUUUUGUCUUUUGUCUAAAAUCGAAAAUCGGUUUUAAAUUUACUGUAUUGCAUGUUGUCUGUUAUUUUCGCGACUCUCUUCAUAAUAUGCUUACUUUAAGUGGUUUAAUUCUUUGAAGGAUCUUUGCAUAUCGCAUCGCAUUAUUGGUCAAUUUCACCCUCUUAAGUGGAAGUGAAAAACUACUCCUUCGUGAGGUCUUCACCUCCGUAUAGGAUAGUGGAUCGCUUUCGGGAUACAUCCUUACCUGUAUCUUCGUGAGGUUUUCACCUCCGUAUAGCCGUAGGGAAAUGUAUUCCCCUGAAUCGAGCUCGGUCUGUAUGAACCUAUAAUGGGUGAGGAUUGAGGAAUCUGCUGAUUCAGGUACCUUUACUUUAGAACCAAACUACAUGUAAUGAGCCAUAGGAGCCUACCUUAGGUAGAACCACACCGAACCCUAGUGGUUACCUGAUUAGGUGCUUAUUUACUCCUUAUUUUCUUUGAAUUCUAUUCUUUGUAUAUAAUACUGACUUGUUGUAUUUUGAUUAUUUUCGCAUGACAUUUCAUCAUACAAGGGUGUUGAUUUACGUUCGGUUACUAAUUAGAAGAGUUUAGCAUGGAAAAAGGAUUUCUUGAUAGAGUGGAGGACAAUGCGACCGUCCGAGUGUGGUCUGAGAGAACGCAACAGGAGAAAGGAGAUAGUUUGAUCGAGGGAUAUGAAUCAGAGUUAUGGGAUUUCACUCGCAUCAGUGUGACUCAGAACGACCUGUAAGAGUUAAAGGAUAUAUGGAAUAGUUGGAAUGGUGAAGUCAAACAACUCUUUUACUGUAACUACGGUGACUUACCCUAUUUGCUCGAUGUAAAAGUGGACAAGUACUUGUUUCGGGCCCUCGCGCAAUUUUGGAAUCCCGCUUACAGUUGCUUCACUUUCGGAGGAGUUGAUUUAGUACCUACGGUGGAGGAAUACAUGGCGUUACUUAAUUGCUCGAAGAUUCAGGCUAAUAGGGCUUAUUCAAGACCUGUCAACGUCCCUCCCUUUUUGAAGAAAUUGAUGAAUAUCAUAGGGAUGAGUGAGCAAUGGGUUACGGCCCGCAUCAAGCAAAAAGGGGAUAGUAAAUGUAUUCCUUGAAGGAAUUUAAGGGACUUGAUCCUUGCACACCCAGAUUCAAAGAAAAAGGUUGAUGUUUUUGCCUUAAGCAUCUAUGGUUUGAUCGUCUUUCCUAAAGCACUUGGACACAUAGAUGAAGCCGUCUCAGAUUUAUUCGAUCGACUUGAUAAAGGUACCACACCCGUCCCGACAAUCCUAGCAGAAACUUUUCGAUCCUUGAAUGCAUGCCGGAGAGUGGGCGAAGGAAGAUUUAUUGGUUACGCACAGCUUCUUUUAGCUUGGUUCCAUAGUCAUUUUUGAAAGGUGGAGAAGGUCUCCUAUCGGGUAUUCUCUAAGGAUUAUUCCCCAUUAAGAGAAUUAGUGGCCACAUCGAGGCGGGACGACAUCUCCGAAGAGAGGUGGAUAACUAUUCUCCAAAAUUUACAGGCCGAAGACGUUGAAUGGAGGGCUCCAUGGUUGAUUCCUGACGAGAUCUUAUAUAGGUGCGGUGAUUUUGACUGGGUCUCUCUGGCUGGAAUAUGGGGAGCCGUUGGAUACGCUCCACUGAUGGUGUUAAGGCAGUAUUGAUCAAGGCAGUUUAUACCGGUGACACAAGUGUUGGCACAAUGUGAGUUCCCCUAUAAAGACAACAAUUAUAAGAAGAGGGUUCGCGAGAUAUCAGAUGCAUGGAACCAAACUCGAAGAAUGAAAAGAUUCACAGCAGGCCCGAUGACGACCCCCGAGUAUGAAUGGUGGUGGGGUAGGAGAGUCAACGACAACAUCCCUAGGCAGAAUCAAGGGAACACUCAAUCGAUAGAGGAGCAUUUACGGGUCAUCCCAUCCGAGUUAGAGAUCAUUAAGCAAGAUUUUGAGAAAAGAAACUCGGAGUUGGGGAAGAAGAUAGAGCAGCUAGAAGAAGAUAAAAUGAAGUUUGGGUUAGACGUCGAUAUCCGCAAGCUAGAGGCUGAGAAGUUAAGGAAAUGAAAGAACAAGGUCGAGAAAGAUUUAGAUAGUCUGAAAACCGAUUACAAGAAGCUUCGUAUAACGAUAAAAACUGCCGGAUUAGGUAGAACGUCGAAACAAUAGUGUCAAGAGAUUAAAGAGGAAAAAACUAGAGCCGACCAUUGGGAGAAAAGGUUUCAAGAUACCUGAGUACGAGAGCACACUCUGAAGAAGAGUUUCUUAGAAACCCAAAACAAAAAGGAGAAGUUACGAGCUCGGGUUGCUGAAUUGGAAAGAUUACUUCAGCAACAUCGUAGCCAUAAUUCGAUAAUUAAACUGAAGGCUAGUCUGAGCAGGAUCGAAGAGUUGAAAGGGAAAAUAGAAGAACUCGAGACCGCACUGCGAGAUAGCAAAAGUCAAGUGGAACUUCUUGAGACAAACAACGACCAUUACAGAGAACAACUUCACCACUCUCAAAAUCAGAUUAGAGAUAGAGACUAUGUCAUGGGCGAAGCUAUAGCUCAGGUUCGAGAGGUAGCUGAUCACUUGCAAACCUUGGCAGUUCAGGUUGAUAUAUUGAGUUUGAAGUAUGAGUCAGAAUCAAACCGAGGCCAAAGCUUAGCUUGGCUUCUUAGGAAAGUUAAGACUUUGGGCAUUAGGGCGAAGUCGUAUAUGUAAUCAUCCGUUCUGUGUAAAGAAAUUUUUCUUCUAGUAAAGUUCUUCUAAUGAAAUUGAAUUGGAAUAAACGCCUCUUUUUGCAUUCAUUCAUUGCAUGUGCAUGUCCCAUAAUUAUUCGCUAAGGUUAAAAUAUACAAUUUGCAGUUGUAAUACCAUAAGACUGGAACCACGUCAUUCGUAUAGAAUGCACCGACAAGCUAGAGUAAUGGAGGCCGAAUUCAACGAAAGGAUUGAGAGGAUGGAAAGAAUUCAAAUGGAAUUACAAUAGCAACUGGCUAAGUCACAGCAAGAAACGAGAGAUUUGAUAGUAAGAUCUCGAGAGGAAUCACUUGAACAAAAUGAUCAAAUGGCUAAAAUGAUGGAGAUGAUGUCAGUUUUGGUCAAAGGAAAAGGACCCAUGCAGAACCCCGAUAGUAUGGAACCUCAAUCAAGAAUUAAUCAUGACCAGGAUCCACUCUAUCCCACAGGAUUCACUCCACCACAUGCCCACGUAGCACAAAGAGGGUAUACUCAAGGGGAAUUCACAGGCUUGGAACAACGACCUAUGCCAUUUACUCAUCUAGGGCAAGGAACAUUUAUGUCAAAUCCCAGAGCAACCCCUGCCAAUCCUGUAGUUCCAGAUUUAGAUGAUCCAGUCGAAAUAGCCAAGUUGAAAAUAGAUGAUCACGAGGCUCAAGAGAGGUAUAGGAGCUUGGAGGAAAGACUUAAGGCAAUAGAAGGCACUGAAGUCUUCUCUGCACUAGGUGCUAAAGAACUCAGUUUGGUACCUGACCUAAUCCUGCUUCCGAAGUUCAAGGUGCCUGAUUUCGAAAAGUACGAUGGGACAAGAUGUCCAAAAGCACAUCUUGUCAUGUUUUGCCAAAAAAUGACCGGUUACGUGAACGAAGAUAAGCUACUUGUACAUAGUUUUCAAUAUAGUCUAGUAGGAUCGACUCUUCGGUGGUACAACCAGCUCAGUAAGGAAAAGAUCCGAUCUUGGAAAGACUUGGCGUCGGCAUUCUGUGAGCAGUACAAGCAUGUAUCAGAUAUGGUGCCUGAUAGGAUGACUUUACAAAUGAUGGAGAAAAAGCCAUCAGAAACUUUUAGACAGUAUGCGCAAAGAUGGAGGGACGUCUCAGCCCAAGUGGAACCCCCACUAACGAAAACGGAGAUAACCAUCCUUUUUAUCAACCCUUUAAAGACGCCGCUUUAUGACAAACUAGUGGGAAUCCCCACGAAGGACUUUGCGGAUAUUGUAAUAUCCGGUGAGCUUAUAGGGAACGCCGUCAAGAGCGGUAGAAUGAAAGGUCAAGAAAGUUCAAGAAGGGUAGCACUCAUGAAGAAGAAAGAACCAGAAACCCACAUGGUGGGAAUGGGAAGCUGUUAUACCCCUAAUUUGUAUCCAAACCAACCCCGACCUCGAAAUUACCCACCUCCGAAUUUCUAUUAUCCUCCUCAAACCCCUUACUACCAAACACUGUCUCCUUACUCUUCUUACCCUGUUUACGCCACAAGUAACCCGAGACCAACCGCCACAUUCCCACAAAAUAUAAUACCCGCCCAAGGUCAAUCCAAAAACAAGCAGAGGCCAACAAAACCCAAUUAUGAGAGACCACAAUUUACCCCUAUUCCUGUGUCAUAUGGGGAACUGUACCCAAAACUUUUGGAGAGGCAAUUGAUAUCCCCACAUUAUAUGGCACCCUUGAGGCCCCCAUACCCGAAAUGGUACGGCCCAAACGCUAGUUGUGCAUACCAUGCGGGAAACCAGGGACAUUCCACGGAAAAUUGUCUAGCCUUUAAGAGGAGAGUUCAAGGACUAAUUGAUGCGGGUAUCCUACGAUUCGAUAGUGCCAGUAAUGUAACUAGGAACCCGUUCCCUAACCAUACUGAAGGGAAUGUGAGCACAGUGGAGAAAGAAGAUGAAUGGAAAGUCAGAAGAUGUGUUUCAGAAAUAAGGACGCCUCUGCAGAAAAUCUGAGAGGCACUGGUUAAGAAUGGAUUGCUCUGUCGCCCCGAUGAUAAUCUCAGAAAAGAAUGUCAGGUUUUUUGUGAUUUUCAUGGAAUUGUAGGGUACAACAUUCAAUCAUGUGAGGAAUUUAAAAGGUUACUGCAAGACCGGAUAGAUAAUAAGGAGAUUGAGAUCAUUAAUGAAGGAGAGGCCAAUGAGAAAGAAGUAUGUGCCUUUGACAAUCAAUCGUCAGGUUUUUCAUGUAGCGCCGAUCGACCAUUCGUAAUUUAUUACGAUGCAAGGAAGGAACCGGUGAAACCAAAAAUGAUAAUCGAAGUACCGUCUCCUUUCCCUUACAAGGACAAUAAAGCAGUACCAUGGAAAUAUGACGUUAAUAUCAUCACACCUGAAGAUGAAAAACCCAAAGCCAUGACUGGAGGUGUCGGAGAAGUAGGUCAUUUCACUCGUAGUAGAAGAUGUUAUUCGAAGGAGGUGAAGAAGAACAGUGACUUGAAACAGAAAUGAAAAGCACCGAUGCAUGAGGCCGAAGUCGAGCAAGAAAUUCCACUGGUGCAAGAAACUAAAAAGCCUGUGGAUGAGGAGGAAGCACAUGAGUUCUUGAAAUUUAUCAAACACAUUGAAUACAAUGUGGUGGAACAAUUGAAUAAGCAACCAGCACGAAUCUCGAUUUUAUCUUUGUUGUUAAAUUCGAAGUCACACCGGAACGCUUUGCUGAAGGUGUUGGAAUCAAGCUUACGUGGCAAAUAAUAUAUCCAUUGAGAAGCUUGACAGAUGGGUGAAUAAUCUAAACGCGGAUAAUUUUAUUUCUUUUAGUGAUGAUGAAAUACCACCCAACAGUACAGGCUCAGUGAAAGCACUGCAUAUUAUGACUCGCUGUAAGGGCUACAUAAUACCGAACGUGCUCAUCAAUAAUGGGUCGGUACUCAACGUUAUGCCUUUCGCCACGCUUUCCAGAAUUCUGAUGGAUCUAUCCCAUUUAAGGCCCUGUCAUUCUACGGUAAGGGCAUUCGACGAGACAAGGCGUGAAGUCAUAGGAAAGAUUGGGAUCCCUUUGGAAGUGGGUCCCUACAUAUAUGAUGUUGAGUUCCAAGUCAUGGACAUUACACCCUCAUAUAACUGCCUUUUGGGAAGACCCUGGAUCCAUUCUGCUGGAGCGGUCCCAUCAUCCCUCCAUCAACAAGUGAAAUUUAUCAUGGAUGGCUGUUUGGUCAUUGUCGGGGGAGAAGAAGACAUUGUCGCAUCUAUCUCUGCUGAUGCGCCAUACCUUGAAGUGAGCAAAGACGCAGUGGAAUGCUCCUUCCGAUCCCUUGAAUUCGUCAAUGCCACAUUCGUCACUGAGGGAAACAAAAUUCCCGUGCCUAAAUUGUCGAGAAAUACUAGAAUGGAUGUCAAGUUGACUGUAGGAAUGAGAGCUCGAGCGAGAAGAGGUUUAGGGAGAUAUCUGCAAGGAAUAGUCAGGGCUCUAAAACCAGUGCACCACAAGGCCCGAUACGGUUUGGAGUUCCAGCCGGACAUGCGUCAAAGAAGAAGACAGUGGAAGAAAGAUCAAGAAAGAAGGAUCGCGAGAACCUUAGGCCGAGACCUAGAACGUGAGCCUAUGGAAUUCCCUCAUUUGUCAAGAACAUUUACAUCUGCGGGAAUGAUAUACCCAAGGCAGGAUAAUGCACAAGGCACAAUGUUAAUGAUUGAAAAGGGUUUUCAGAACAUCAGUAUAAAUGUCAUUGACAAAGGAGCUGACACAAGUAAAGAUAACUCAAGGAUACGCCUUUGUCCCCCGGGUUUCAUGUUGAACAAUUGGACUGCUGAGGACCUUCUUGUAGUUUAUAAGUCUUUAGAUUAAUGCUCAAACAUUAAUAUUCUAUUGCGUCCUUAGACAUAAUAGAAUUCUUUUGUAAGAGCUUGCAUUCACUCUUUAUCAUUCAAAUGAAUAUCAAUGAAGAUGCAUUUUGUCACGAUCUUUUGCAUUAUCACUAAUUUCAUAAUCAUUUUCUCAUUUCAUAGCCUAUCCUUACAUUUGCCUCAUGCCAUGCCAUAACAUUUCAUUUGUUGGUUCUAAUACUGGGAUGCCCCUCUAUAGUUUCCUUUUUCAUUCAACUUUCAGGUGCUCAGAUGUCAACAGCAUGAACAAACCCGUUAUGAGUCUUGAAAUCUAUUUUGAGAAGGCUGUUUGUUUAGGAGAAUUCGAAGCCGAAGAAAAUGCUGAAGACUAUGUCUCGUCUCCUAACUUGCUAAGAAUGGUGGAACAAGAGGAUAAACAGAUUUUGCCUCAUCAAGAAUCUGUUGAAACAAUAAACUUGGGAACUGAAGAAAGGAAGCAAGAAGUGAAGAUUGGGACCUCUAUUUCAGGGGGCACUAGGCAUAAUUUAAUUGCUUUACUCCACGAGUACAGAGAUGUAUUCGCAUGGUCAUAUCAGGACAUGCCAGGAUUGGAUGAAGAUGUAGUGGUCCAUAAACUCCCAUUAAAACCAGAAUGCAAACCCAUUCAGAAAAGCUAAGAAGGAUGAGACCUGAGAUGCUGUUGAAGAUCAAAGAAAAGGUCAAAAAGUAAUUCGAUGCGGGUUUCUUACAAGCUUCCAAAUAUCAGAAUGGGUGGCUAACAUAGUCCCGGUACCAAAGAAAGACGGUAAAGUACGAAUGUGCGUGGAUUAUCGUGACCUGAAUCGAGUAAGUCCUAAAGAUAAUUUUCCCUUACCACACAUUGAUAUGUUGGUGGAUAACACAGCAAAGCAUUCAUUGUUUUCUUUCAUGGAUGGAUUCUCGGGGUAUAAUCAGAUUAAGAUGGCCCCUGAGGAUAUGGAGAAAACUACCUUCGUAACAAUGUGGGGAACAUUCUGCUACAAGGUGAUGCCAUUUGGGUUAAAAAAUGCUGGGGCAACAUAUCAGAGGGCUAUGUUGACGUUAUUUCAUGACAUGAUGCAUAAGGAAAUAGAGGUCUACGUAGACGAUAUGAUCGCUAAAUCCCGAGGAGAAGAAGAGCAUGUAGUGAACCUGAAGAAGUUGUUCGACAGACUGAGAAAGUUCCAGCUGAAGCUCAAUCCGGCCAAAUGUACAUUUGAGGCUACCUCAGGAAAAUUGCUAGGCUUCAUUGUCAGUGAAAGAGGUAUCGAUGUUGAUCUAGAUAAAAUAAAAGUCAUUCAAGAGUUGCCACCUCCGCACACACAAAGGGAAGUCAGAGGAUUUUUAGGGAGGUUAAACUACAUCGCCCGAUUAUCGCUCAACUUACCAACCAAUGCGACCCAAUUUUUCAGCUUCUUCGAAAACAUAACCCGGGAGAAUGGAAUGAGGAAUGCCAGGUAGCUUUUGAUAAGAUAAAACAAUAUUUGUCUAACCCUCCAGUGCUAGUACCGCCAACUUCGGGAAGACCAUUGAUAUUGUAUUUGACUGUGUUUGAAAAUUCAAUGGGUUGCGUACUGAGGCAACACAACGAGUCAGGAAAGAAAGAAAAGGCGAUCUACUACCUCAGCAAAAAGUUCACUGAAUAUGAGGCAAAGUAUCCGUCCGUUGAAAAAUACUGUUGCGCUCUGAUUUGGGUAGCUCGGAGACUCAGGCAAUAUAUGUUGUAUCAUAUGACAUGGCUAAUUUCAAAACUAGACCCAAUAAAAUACAUGAUGGAAUCACCAGCACUUUCAGGAAGAAUGGCACGAUGGCAUAUCCUCCAUCGGAAUACGACAUUGCCUAUGUAAGUCAGAAGUCGAUAAAAGGGAGCGCAAUAGCUGAUUUCUUAGCGACUCGAACGACAGAGGAAUAUGAGCCCUUGGGAUUCGAUUUCCCAGAUGAAGACUUAAUGUGCAUCACAGAAAAGGAAUUCGAGUCAUCAAAAGAGAAGCCAUGGAAGAUGAGUUUUGAUGGUGCGUCGAAUACUUUGGGGCAUGGAAUUGGAGCAAUCCUAGUCUCACCAGACGGGAAUCAUUAUCCGUUCACUGCCAGGCUGAAUUUCUUCUGUACCAAUAACAUAGCAUAAUAUGAGGCCUGUAUCAUGGGACUUUGUGCAUCUAUUGAACGAAACGUCAAAACUUUAGAGGUUAUGGAGACUCAGCAUUGGUGAUUUACCAAAUCCGUGGAGAUUGAGAAGUGAGGGAUUUGAAAUUGGUUAAAUACAAUGAUCUAGUGGCAGAGCUGAUUAAAGAAUUCGAAGAAAUAACUUUUAAUUACUUCCCACGAGAAGAAAACCAAUUGGCUGAUGCCCUGGCCACUUUGGCUUCAAUGUUCAAAGCAAACAGAGAAACAGAAAAAAAUGCCUCUUCAAAUGAGCAUAUAUGAAGUCCCUGCACAUUGUUUCAGCAUUGAAAAAGAGCCAGAUGGACGACCAUGGUUCCAUGAUGUCUUAGAAUAUAUCAAGAAUCAAAGGUAUCCCGAACAAGCAAAUGAGAACAAAAAAAGAACAAUUAGAAGAAUGGCAACUGGAUUCGUUCUUGACGGGGACAUCUUAUACAAAAGAGGAAAAGAUCAAGUGCUAUUGAGAUGUGUGGGUGAUGCUGAAGCUAGAAAAAUACUUGAAGAUGUCCAUGAAGGAACUUGUGAAACGCAUGCCAAUGGUUUCACUAUGACUAGGAAGAUUAUGAGACUCGAUUAUUACUGGCUAACGAUGGAAAGCGACUGCAUUAGUUAUGCAAGAAAAUGCCACAACUGUCAAAUUUAUGGUGAUAAGAUUCAUGUAGCCCCUUCACCCCUGCAUGUCAUGACUUCUCCGUGGCCUUUUUCUAUGUGGGGCAUGGAUGUUAUAGGGCCAAUUACCCCAAAAGCUUCUAAUGGACAUCGAUUCAUUUUUGUGGUUAUUGAUUACUUCACAAAAUGGAUAGAAGCCGCAUCAUUUUCCAAUGUGACGAAGACUGCAGUUUGCAGGUUUUUGAAAAAAGAAAUCAUUUGUCGAUAUGGUUUGCCUGAAAGAAUCAUUUCAGAUAACGUUUUGAAUCUGAACAACAAGAUGAUGAAGGAAGUGUGUGAGCAAUUUCAAAUAAAGCAUCAUAACUCAUCGCCCUAUCGCCCUAAAAUGAACGGAGCUGUUGAAGCGGCCAACAAGAAUAUUAAGAAGAUUAUUGGGAAAAUGACCGAGACAUAUAAAGACUGGGACGAGAAGCUACCAUUUGCUUUGUAUGCAUAUCGCACAUCUGUACGGACAUCAACGGGAGCAACUCCUUUCUCUCUGGUCUAUGGAAUGGAGGCUGUACUACCCAUCGAAGUUGAAAUCCCCUCUUUACGAGUCUUAAUGGAGUCGAAACUAGAGGAAGCAGAAUGGGUUCGAGCUCGAUAUGACCAGUUAAACCUCAUCGAAGAAAAACGUUUAAAGGCAAUUUGUCACGGAUAGAUGUACCAGAAGAGAAUGAUCGCGGUCCAUGAAAAGAAAAUACGGCCAAGAGAAUUUCACAAAGGAGAACUCGUACUGAGAAAGAUUCUUCCAAUACAGAAGGACUUACGAGGAAAAUGAGCAACAAAUUGGGAAGGACCAUACGUCGUAAAGAAGGCAUUCUCGGGCGGAGCUUUGAUUCUCACUGAGAUGGAUGGGAAGAAGUUACCGAAUCUAGUGAAUUCAGAUGCUGUGAAGAAAUAUUAUGCCUGAAAAAAAAAGGAUCAAUGUGAAAACCCGAAAAGGGCAUUUUGAUUAACACAAAGGAUUAGAAUGAAAACCCGAAAGGGCAUUUUUAAAAAGUAAGGCGGUUGAACGGUGGGUCAAACAGUGAGACUACAGCAUUUGAAGCAUUUUUCAGUAGCUCAAAAUCUUCUACGCAAGAAGCCAUGCUUGAAAAGAUUCUUGAUAAGAAACGUGGAAGAGUUCAUGUGUUGAAUAUCUAGAGCAUUUGUAUCCGUUGAAUGCGAUCCCUUUUCUCUUUAUGACACUUUUUCACUAUCAUUGGUUAAUUUUCUUUGUUUGCUACAUUUGAAAUAAAUAAAUGUGAGGUAUCCUUUUAUUCCUACCUGACCAUUUUCAUGUAUCUCAUUAUGUGGUUUAUUUAAAUGAUAAAUGUGAAAUGACAUACUCUAGACAAAAGAAAUGUUGAGCAUUACCCGGAUAAGAAUUUGAUAAGUACAAGAGUCUCAAGGUAAGGACAAAGUUCGACCAGCGGCAUCUGAGAAACGUUGAUUACUUGUAAAAACUUGAGGAUGGGUACAGGGCCUAAAUAGAAAGUCAAGAGCCGAAGAAAUGAAUGCAGAUCAUCACAAAAAAAAUCGUGAUGAAAAAGGACAUAAGACAAACAUGCCAAAGGCGCAUAGCAUAAUCAUGUAGGCAUAAAGGCAUUUAAGACAAACAUAUGCAUAUCAUGAUAACGUUAUGCAUGAAAUCUACAGGUACUCCAGUAGAGCGAGAGGACGUGAUGAUAGCUGUACUGAAUUAAAGGAAAAGACACCUGAGUUCCACCAGAUAACAUGUUUUGGUAUUCUGAUGUUUUUAUUUCUGUUUCAAAAAAAUCAACUCAUAUUGCGAGAGGUGAGUUGAGCCUCAAGACACGCUGAGGUAAUUUCAAUUUCUAUUUUUCAAAAAAAUCAACUCAUAUUGCGAGAAAUGAGUUGAGCCUCAAGACACGUUGAGGUAUUUUCAAUUUCUGUCUUUCAAAAAAAUCAACUCAUAUUGCGAGAAAUGAGUUGAGCCUCAAGACACGUUGAGCUAUUUUCAAUUUCUGUCUUUAAAAAAAAAUCAACUCAUAUUGCGAGAGGUGAGUUGAGCCUCGAUUCACAUGCUGAGGUAUUUUUAAUUUCUACUUUUCAAAAAAAUCAAUCAACUGAUAUUGCGAGGGGUGAGUUGAAUCUCAAAUCACGCACUGAGGUAUUUUCAAUUUCUGUUUUUCAAAAAAAAAAUCAACUCAUAUUGCGAGAGGUGAGUUAAGCCUUAGGUCACACGCUGAGAUAUUUUCAUUUUUUUUUUGCUUUUUCAAAGAUCAACUCAUAAUUCGAGAGGUGAGUUGAACUUCGGGUCACAUCCCGAGCUAUUUUCAAUUUCUUGUUUUUCAAUAAAGAAUAAAGAUUGGACAUUUGAACAAAAUUUAGUGCUUUUAAGUCUUUGCACUAUCCUUGUUUCACAAUGAUAAGCAAAGAGGGGCAGCUGUAAGCACUAAAUUUUUGUCCGACUAGAAUUCGUGUUUAAGUUCCAAAAUUUCAAAAAAAUAAAAUAAAAAAAUAAAAAAAUUUUCAAAAAAAAUUACAUCUUAGACCCUAAACUUUCCUUAAAUUACAUUUUAACCUUAAACUUUUUAAAAAUUACAUUUAGCCCCAAAAGUUUUGCUGCAUUUGUGAUUUGGUCCUUCAGACAGAUUACGUGAUUUGGGGCACCCACUUCCCAGAUUUUCAGGCCAAAAACAUGGGUGGUUGUUCCUUUUUCACCCACUACCUGCAAAUGGCAUAAAAAACAAGCAAAAUGGUAGAAAUGAAGGGGGGAACACACACACACACAAAAAAAGAGGAUUCUCCCAUUUGAAAAAAAAGAGCAAAAAAUUCCAGCAAAAAAAAAUCCAAAAAAAAACACUAGCAAUCAAGAGAAAAAAUGCAGAAAGGUGGAUCUUCGAUUUCAUUUUAUUUGUUUUCAUUUCGUUUUAACUUCAAAUCAAUAAACAAAAAGGGGGUUUUGUUUUCAAAUACAAAAAAGGGGUUGUAUUACACAUAUUAUUAAUAAAAAAAAGAACAAAAAAGGUUGUUUUCAUAUUUUCUUUCCUUGGUUUUUUUUUCUUUCUUUAGAUUUUUUUUUUAUUUUAUUUUCUGUGUUAAAUCUUUUAAAAAAAUAAAAGUAAAAAACAAAAGAGGGGCUGAAAACUUACCUAUUCUUCACGUCCCACCCUCAUCGGAGAUUCCCCGAUCCAAAAGGGCCACGAAACCCCUCAAGUUUCUCGUUUAGGCCAUGGAAAAGAAGAGGGGGACGAGUACUCGGAGGGCGAAAUAGUAGCUUUCUCACUUGAACUUGGUGAGAGAGAGGUUUGUUUGAGAGAAAUGAAAAUGAAAAGGGAGAAGGAAAGAGUUUUUGGUUUUUUUUUUCUCUUGAAAAAGGGACCAGCAGAAU
rnacentral:lncRNA from 1 species